CAAACCUGAAACUUUCCCAUUGGGCAAUAAACAUUACUCCAGUCAAAAACAUUAUGGAAGAGGCAAACCUGAAACUUUCCCAUUGGGCAAUAAACAUUACUCCAGUCAAAGACAUUAUGGAAGAGGCAAACCUGAAACUUUCCCAUUGGGCAAUAAACAUUACUCCAGUCAAAGACAUUAUGGAAGAGGCAAACCUGAAACUUUCCCAUUGGGCAAUAAACAUUACUCCAGUCAAAAACAUUAUGGAAGAGGCAAACCUGAAACUUUCCCAUUGGGCAAUCAGCAUUACUCCAGUCAAAAAAAGUAUGGAAGAGGUGCUUCUCCAUCCGACAAUCAACCACCAAUUCCAUAGAAAUUCAAACACGGCUACUUUCUUGCCACGAGAAAGCGCUCAAUCGAUCCCCUUCUCCUCUAACAAACUACCAGAAAUUUUCAACCAUUUUUCAGUGAAGCCAACAUCUGAGGAAGCCAAAACAAUUAAGCAAACAAUCGAAGAGUGUGAAGCUCCAGACCUUAAGGGAGAGGAAAUAUAUUGCGCCACAUCUUUAGAAUCAAUGGUUGAUUUUAGCACUUCGAAGCUUGGAACAAGAAACGUUGAAGCAAUCUCGACGGAGGUAUUGGAAAAAGGAGCCACCAUGUCCAUCCAAAACUAUACAACAAUGCCGGGACUGAAGAAGUUGGCAGGUGACAAAGUCGUUGUGUGUCAUAAGCAGAACUAUCCCUAUGCUGUGUUUUUCUGCCAUGCAAUAAAACAUACAGCAGCUUAUGCUCUCUCCCUGAAAGGCGAUGAUGGGGAGAAGGUUAAAGCAGUAACCAUCUGCCAUCUAGACACAUCAGAAUGGGACCCAGAGCAUAUGUCCUUCAAAAUCGUCAACGUUAAGCCCGGAACCAUUCCCAUCUGCCAUUUCAUUUCCACUGAUGCUAUUGCCUGGGUUCCGAACCACAAAUCUGCAUGAUCAUCACUUAGCACUAGUACUGUGCGUAUAAUAUGCCUGUAUAAUUAUCUCCCUACUUAUUUCUGCCUGUUCAUCAUGUGGUGUAAGAUAUAUGUUGAGAUGAAGUUUUUGGGAUUAGUGGUCGAAAUUAACCCGAUCAUGUUUUCUCUUGUAACUAUAUAGACUUCAACUUGUACUCAUAAUAAAGCAUGCUAUAUUUAUGAAGAGAUAUUAAUCUUCAGGCAAAUAGAUAUUAUGAAAACAUAUAUAGCAAUUUAUCCAGAAGAAAUAUUAUGAAAUGAAAAGAAUAAAAAGUAAAAAAACAGAAGGAAAGGAAUUCGCACCUGCUAUGUAUGAAAGGACCAAGAUUGUUUUCCCUUUGGUUAAUGACUAGAAAAGCUCACUUGCAGAUUGCUUUCUCUGACCGUAGAUGCAACAGAAAUUUUCUCUUAAUAAUAGCACAAUGAUCGGGUAAUUGUAAGAACAAGUUGAUUUAAAAUUCCUUGACCCAAAAAAAAAAAAAAAAUCAUUUCAAAUUCAGGUCAACCCAUAGAUUUCUUGCCUUUUUCUUCUUCAUCACGUUGGGCUUGUCUUCUUCUUGAGGAUUGUAUAGGCCCAGGAAAUGCUUUGAGGUAGUUUUUGGCCUUGGAAGUUGGGACCCAACCCAACUUCACAAAAAGAAAACAGAUUUGCCAAAAAUCAAAUUUCAAGUCUCUCCUCAGAUCACUAAUACAGAUCAAAUUUUGGAUUUGAUGAACUAAAGUGGUUUUACUUUCUCUGUCAGUGUUUGAUGACUUAAUUUGUUAUUUACUUCUUUUUUUUUUUUUACUUGAUCUUUGUAGGGGUUUUUUUCUUCCGGUAACUUAAACGGGCUGGGCUGCCGUAAAGGGUAGAUUGAUGAAAUUGUCUCCUUUGUCUGAGUUCGAAAAUCAAGCCCCAAAAGCGCUUCGAAAGGGCAGUAGAGCCUUAGGAAGCGUUCUAGUCAUCUUCACCAACUAAAACAACAGCAACUUACAGAUGAUUUCUUAAGGCUUACAGAUAAAUUUUCUAGCUUGGCAUGAGAGGCUUGUGACAUGGAAGCAAAAUCAGCAUGAGUUUAGCACCAAAGAGGAAAAUAUGGCUUCCUAGGGAGAAAUGGGAGUGUUUAAGGUGAGGAAGAAGAGGUUUGCAGGCUGAUUUGGCUGAGGAGAGAGAAAGAAAGAACAAUGUUCUUCCAGUAGCUUGACAAAGCUUCUGACAGAUGUGAAAGUCGUCUGCCAUAAGAGGAAAAUGAAGAAGAAUGGUGAAUAGUGCAUGAAAUUGCUGGGUUUUUGCAGGUAAGAGAGAAAGCUUGCUCUCUGAAUUUGAGUUGGUUUUUGGUUGGGUAGAAGAGGCCCCCUUUUAUAGCUGCGGGAAACCAUCUUUUUUCAAGAAACCCUAAUGGUUUCUAUCCAUUUUGGCCAAGCUUUUCCCUUCAUUUCUCUUCUCCUCCCUUGACUUUUCCUAUCUUGGUGAAAUUUCCUCUGCCUAUUUGCACAAAAUUAGAGAUUUUGAGGAGCUCAAGACCCCUUUCCCGCAGCUGCCUCAGUGGAGAAUCCCCAUUUUCAGUCAUCUUUCUUCCUUCUUUUCUCCCAUCUUCCAAGGUUAGGUCUGAUGAGGGAAAGAAAUGGGUAUGCACACUGGUUUGAAGGGUAUUUUUGCUUGAAACUUGUUCUCUCCCAUGUGCUGGAGCUUCCCAGCAACUUACACACAUGGAUAUUUUGGCUUUCAUCGUGGCUUUUGUUUUCAGCUAGGUGCUGGAGAUUUCGCAGAUAUUUUCAUGAGUUGCUUGGGCCUUCUAGGACAAUAGGUUGGUUUAUCAAGUGAAUGGGCUAACUUCAUCAAUUGUUGGGCUAUUUUGGUUGAGUUAAUGGACUAUUUUGGUUGAAGUAAUGGGCUAUUUUGGUUGAAUUAAUGGGCUAUUUUUCUCUCUUUGUGCUCACCCACAUAUUUGGGCCUAAGAAAUGGGCUUGAGUUCCGGGGCUCCCAAGCAACCCCGGGACUUCCAUUUCUCGGCCCAUCAAUGGGCCUCAUAUCAACUUAUUACCAUCCAUAUCACAACCCACUCAAGCAAGCCCUGGGCAUCUUGCGUGGCUUGGGCCCACUUAAGCUUGUAGCGUGACGUGUUGCUUAUUUGCUUGGCAUGGCAUGUGUGCAAGCGCAUAUGACGAACUUUAGCGUGCCCAAAUUGGGUUUAUUCUCGGUAAGGUAUCGCAUUGGGCCGAGAAUUUAAUUGGGCAGAACUGUGGAUUUUUGGGCCUCAACAAUCUUAUAUAUAUUGGUUUUCUUUUUUUCCUUAAUAUUCACCACCUUUCUGUUGCAUAAGUAUUUCAGUCUUAACGGGUUUCCAUCUACCACUCAUCUUUGCUCUUUUAAGUGUAAGCUUUUUUUUUUUUUUUUUAAGCACAAGAUUAGAGGGGAGGGGGAUUUCUCAAUGUAAGCUUUGCAGUUUCAUAAUUAAUAUUUCCAAUAUCUCACUGUUAGUAAAAUAUGGAACAGGAAAAGUAUGAAUAAAAUACACACAUGUUUUAUUUAGCAAAAUUUUGACAAGAUACAACUGAAAAGUUUGGCCACUAUAUAAUAUUUUGAUAUAAUUUCUACACUUCUUCUCAAAAGAUUAGAUCACUUCACAUCUUGUGUAUGUGAAAACUAAUGUAAAAAGUUGAAACUUUAUCGUAAAACCUCGACAAAAAUGAGCUCUACUAGAAAAUGUUCAAUUUGGAUUCGUUGAUUUAAAUGGCAAUUUGACACUUGAUAGAAAUUUUUACAUACAUGUGUUAGUGUUUGAUCACUUCACAUGUUACUUACUAUAUUUAUUCCACUCAAGUUAGGUAAAUAUUAUUAUCAAACAUUUCAAUUAAUUUGUGAUUUUUUUAUUAUUUAAUCAAUUAUGAAUUAAUGGAUUCUUCUUGUUGUUUUGAAGACCAAUAAAAAAAAAAGGGUAAGGAUGGCUUAUAACUCUGAUAAAACAACAGUGACGUGGACAGCAGAUGUUACACCGUACUGAAGAUUUUUGAAGAUUCUUUAUUUGGGUUUCUUUCAAGAUGAAAACCAUAUUAUCCACAACCACAAUGAAGAAGACAGAAAAUGGAGUAAUUCAGAUGUUACCAGCCAUCCACGACAAACUGAAGUCUGCAAAGCAUUCGUAAUCUAAAGGGAGACUUUGGAAAAGCCCAAAGGAGAGAGAAAAUUUUUAAAAGAAGCAAAAAUGGACAAAAUUGCCCUUAUUUAUUUUUUGAUUUCCUAAGAAAUCCUUUACAUUUGCAUGUCUUUGGUUUGAAAGUUGAGAGGUUAUUCUGUCUUUUUUCAAAAAGCUUUGGCUUUUUCCAAAAGUGAAAGUUUUUUUAUGGGUAAAACCUAAAUUUACUUAAUCCCUAAAAAGGAUGGGGAGGCUGCGCAAUACUUAGCCACGUGUAGGCCAGGAGGCUUUCCAAUUUUAAUAUAUAUAUAAAUUGAAAAAAUAAAAUAAAAAUCAAUCUAUUAUCCUAUAUAAAAUAAAGAUUAUUGCUUCCAUGGGCAGUGCUAUGCACAGGACAGUGCCUGCCCAGCACAAAUUUUUUUUAAAUAAAAAAAAAAAAUCUACAUAUGUUAUAAGCUCAUCCAAAAAAAUAAAAUAAAAUAAAAGUAAAUUCUACAUAUAUGUUGCCCAUCUAGGUGGUUCCAUAUCUUCUCUCUCCUUCUCUUUUGGCUAUUAGACUUCUUGUUUCUCUCUCUCUCUUUGCUACCUCACAUCAGCAAGUUUCUCCCUCUCUUUUUUUGGGGUCAAAUUCUUCCUCUAUUGACAAAAUCUUCUAUUAUCUUGGGUGGGCAACUUGGCAACAACAUCUUCUCUUCUCCUUUUGUCAACAACAAGUAUUAUUCUCAUUCUCUCAUUUGCUAUAUAUCUUUAAUUAUAGUUUUAAUUUAAAAUUGAGUAUUCUAGGGUUUAAUUAGGGAUGAAUUAUAAUUUUAGAAUUUUGUUGAAAUUAAUUAAGGCUUCGAUUAGGGGUGAAUUAUUCUACUGCUUUGGUUUGGAAUUUUGUUAAAAUUGAGUAUUAUAGGGUUUAAUUAUGGAUGAAUUAUAAUUUUUGAUUUUGGUAUUAUUGAGAUGUUAUUAUGAGAAUUUGUUUCAUUUUUUUAUUGGUAUAUUUGAUUAAAAUUCUUUCUACAUAUUAUUCAUAGGCUAUCUUUUAUUAUGUCGGAUCACAAUCGGAAUCCCAAGAGAACAAAGAAUUUGAAUAGUGUUGUUUUGUAUUGCAUUGCAUUUACUUUUGGUUUUAGUUUUGCUUUUAGUGUAAAUUACUCAAAUGGUCCUCAAAUUUGUACCCGAUUUACAUUUUGGUCCAUAAACUAAAUUAUUCAUUCAAAUGGUGCACCAACUCUUUAUUAAUCAGUGCUUUGGUCCUACCGUUAUGUUUUCUAUUAAAUUUAGUCAUGUGAGCAGCACAUGCUACAUUUGUAGGGGUAAAUAAGACUUUUGACCACUUUAUCACCUAUGUAUCACCACUUUAUAACCUAUUUGGAGAACAUAGGUCAGUUAUGGACGGUUUUACAAUUAUAUUUGACGGCAACAUUAACAUAAUGUAACAGUGGGAUCAAUGGAGCGAUUAAUAUAGAGUUGAUGGACCGUUUGAACGAAUAAUUUAAUUGAGGGACCAAAACGUAAAUUGAGUAUAAGUUUGAGGACCAUUUGAGUAAUGUACCCUUCGCUUUUAUAUUUGUUGAACUUUUAUUUAUGGAUAGAUAUGCAUUUGAGGGUAAGACCCAUUAUGUUCCCCCUGACUUGGUGUAUCUUUUUAUGUUUAUUAAUGAAAUUCACUCGAACUGUUGAGUUUAGUAUGUAAGUUUUGCCUAACCGGCUUUUGAAUCCUAGAACCGCCACUGUUGCUCCAUCCUCCAUGCACUUGCAUGUGCUCUUACAAAGUGUGAAGUAGAUUUUGUGUGCUCCAAGUCAUUGACUAGAGCUGAAACAUGGUUAGCUAGAUUUAUAAGGACCCAUCUCUCUAUUUCCUAGACAUAUACCCAUCUCUCUAUAAAUCUAUAUGUAAAACUCAAUUUCAAACUUAAAUGACCAGUAAGAUAUAAGAGGUCAUAGUAUUCCUAUGUUUUUACAUCGUUGCCACCAGACUUCUUAUUUUAUUUAUAAUUUAUUUCAAGCAUUUCAUUAACUGCCAUAAUUGUAAUUAAUACUCCAUAUUAAUAGCAUAUCAAUCACCCCAUUUCUUUUGAUUGCCAUUCCCUCUAACAUAUCGCCCCUUAAAAUUGAAAACCAAAAAAAAAAAAAAUGUAAAUUACAUAUCCAAUAAUGUACCUAUGAAAAAUAUAAAUAUAAAUAUAUACGUAUAAAAAUAUAGGUUUAUUAUUUACCAAAUAAAAAAUAUAAAAAAACUAGGUCAGUUGCUUUGUAAUUGAAAUUUCUAUACAUUUUCCACAAAUUAAAAAUAGGUACACAAUAAUUUAUAGAAAAUAUAGGUGCAUUAUUUAUCCAUAGGUAAAAAUACCUAUAAAUGCACAUAGGUAAAUUAUUUACCCAUAUAUUAUUUUUUUGCUAAGGAUUUACCUUAGUUUUUAGUAGAUUAAUUUACCUACCUAGAGGCAUAGGUAGCUUAAAAAAAUUGUAGCACCUUAGUUGGUUGCAUACUAAUUUACCUACCUAGAGGCAUAGGUUGCUAAGAAAAAAUGUAGGUAAAUUCAUGUACCUAAACACAUAGGGGUCAAAUAGAGAAUAACAUGUUAUUUCCCUUCGAACAAAUUAAUUUCAAACCAUAACAAUAAUUGAAUUCGGAAAUUGGUAUAAAUAAAAGGAAAUAAAUAAGCUAUCAAUUUGAAAAUUAAAAUAAGAAAUGAUCAAGUAGUCAUAUUUGAAAAAAAAGAAAAGAAUAUAUUCUUGGUUUUUAUAGGAACAACGUGUAUAUUCAAACCAAAUGGCAGUAACUACACCAAGCUUUAAUUACUUUUUUUUAAGGCCAAAAGUCACUUUUGGUCUCUGUAGUUUGACACUUCUAUUACUUUUGACGCUGUAGUUUCAAUUCCGUCAAUUUUGCCAUUGUAGUUUCAUAUUUGUAGCAAUUCAAGGACAUGUUAAUAUUAAUGUCAAUUUGUUUAAUGAUGCAAGGGGUAAUUUCGUCAUCCCAAAAUCCUUGAGCAUAAAAGCUUGUCUGAAAUUCUCCCCAUUUCAUAUUAGGGCUCGAAAUUCAACCACUAAUCCCAAUUUUUGAAGAACCCUAUACCCAAAUGACCAAUUUCAAGCCCUAAUAACAAAUUAGGGAAGUUUUAGAUGAGCUUUUAUGCUCAAGGAUUUUGAGUUGAAGAAAUUGCCCCUUGCACUGUCAAAGAAAUUGAUAGGAAUACUGACUUGUCCUUGAAUUGCUACAAAUACAAAAAUACAGGGUCAAAAUUAACAGAAUUUAAACUAUAUGGUCAAAAGUGGUUAAAGUGCCAAACUACAAGGACCAAAAGUGACUUUUAGCCUUUUUGUUUAAAUAAGGAAAAAACUUACCUAUUAAAUCCUUGGAAUCUAUACAAAAUUGAAACACAGUUAAUCAGCAUUGAAUUGCAGCUAAUUUCUUAAACAAGGGUAUUAUAGGAAUUUAAAAAGUAUAACAUUUAAUCCAUUGAGCUUGAUUAGGAAUCUUGAUGAGUUGGAUCCUAGUUAUAUAGUUUCUCUUAUAAAAAUCGGGUUUUAUUUAUAGACAAAUAAAACAAUGGGUUGUAGGUAAGAAAAUAUUAAUUUGAAGGGAAAGUGUCACAUCCUGGGAUCGGCUCCGCCGUAGCACGAUAUUGUCCGCUUUGGGCCCCCCUCUCUGCCCGCACGGUUUUGUUUCUGGGAGCUCACGAGCAACUUCCCAGUGGGUCACCCAUCCUGGGAUUGCUCUGGCCCCCAACUCGCUUAACUUCGGAAUUCCUAUGACUCCGAAGCCAGUGAGCUCCCAAAAGGCCUCGUGCUAGAUGGAUGCGGGUGUGUACAUAUAAGACACAUCACCCCCUCUCCGUUGGUUGAUGUGGGAUCUUACAGAAAGAGUCAAAUUUACUAAAUUAAUAAAGCAUAAAUUGGAAAGGGAAAAGAUCUAGAGGAUGCAUUGUAGGAUUGCUCAUGCCAAUAAUUGCACCCUCUCGAUAUUGAAAAACCUAUUGUGUAUUAUUAUCUUCAAUCAUGAAUGAUGCACCUAAAACCCAAGUGUCCCAAGCCAACCAUUGCGCUCAUACCACUUGUUGCAGUACACAUUCACCCGUUUUUAAAGAAAGAAAUUCUACCAAUCGAUAUUGUCUCAAAUUUAAUCACAUAGGUCUAUUAUGGUUAACCAUAUGUACUUUUAUCGGCCAUAUAGAGGUACCUUUUUCCAACGUGCAACAAUUGUAUUUGAUUCACAAUUAUGUCUGAUAUACAUCACAUCAUGCCACUUGCCUCAAAUGAAUUUAAUUGAGUGAGGCAAUGGGAAGUAAUUAAGCUCUAUAUUGGUGGGUGGAGUGUUACUUCUGGAACCCUCAUCAUUCGUCCAUACAAGGGAACAAUUCCCUUCCUUCUAUAAAAUGGUGAAGCCAGUUGCUAUUGUUUGUUAGAGUUUUAGGAUCUGAGUGUUAGAUUUUGUGAGAAGAGAGAAGAGAAUUUAGUGAAAACUUCCAAUACUGCUCUGCUAUACGUGUAGCAGAGAGAACAUUCUGUUUUGUUAUAUAUUUUCAGUACAACAACACACACUUGGUGUGAGAAGAAAAAUGACUGUUAUGCACAGUACCAGCUGGAUGCUUUCCAUCAAAGUAAUCUCAGCCAUUCACUAUCUAACCAAUCAAGCUAUGACACCUGGACUAAGUAUAAAGAAAUACAACUAAGCAGAAAACAAGACUCUUAAUCCUGAAAUCAACUUAAGCACUUAUAAUUCAACACUCCCCUUUAAGUCUUGAGGUGAUUUCACUCCAAGCAUGCCUCUGAGAUAAUUGAAUCUGUCUUUGGCCAGAGGUUUGGUAAAAAUGUCAGCCAAUUGUUCAUUUGUAGGACAAUAUUCCAGAUUGAUUACCCCUUCUUGCAAUGCAUCCUUGAUGAAGUGAUACCUCCUGUCAAUAUGCUUUGUCUUCUGGUGGAAUACAGGGUUUUUAGUGAUUGCAAUUGCUGAGAUAUUAUCACAAUGCAAUGGAGUAGCUUCAGUUUGAAGCUCUCUAAAGUCUUCUAGCACAAAACGGAGCCAAAUAGCUUGAGUAGUAGCCUCAGCUGCACUGAUGUACUCAGCUUCUGCAGUAGACAGUGCAACACAGUUCUGUUUCACUGAGGCCCAAGAAAAUACUCCACUUCCAAAACUAAACGCAUACCCUGAUGUGCUCUUGCAAUCACCAACUGAUCCUCCCCAAUCACUGUCACAGUAACCAACUAGAAUUGAUCUUUUGCCUUUCACAUAUUCAAGACCAUAGUCCAGAGUUCCUUUGAUGUAUCUCAAAACCCUUUUAGCUGUUCCAUAGUGUCUAUUUGUAGGACAGUGCAUGAAUCUAGCUAGCAAGCUUGAGGCAUACAUGAUGUCUGGUCUUGUAGCAGUUAAGUACAGCAAGCUACCAACAAUGCUUCUGUAUUGUUCUUCAUUUGCAGCUCAACUCCCAUCAUCCUUAGCUAGUUUCUCAGUGGCAACAAGGGGUGUUGUCACAGGUUUGCACUCAGUCAAACCAAACUUGCUCAACAAGGUGCUAGCAUAUUUCUUUUGAUGUAGAAAUAUACUAGACUCAGUCUGAAUAACUCCCAUGCCAAGAAAGUGAUGAAGUAAGCCCAAAUCAGUCAUCUCAUACUUAGCCAUCAUGUCUUCUUUGAAUUCAGCCAACAAUGCUUGACUGCUCCCUGUAUACACAAUAUCGUCUACAUAGAUAGACACAAUUAGAAUCUCCUUAUCUCCCCUUACUUUGGUAUAUAAGGUUGUUUCACUUAAGCUUUUCACAAAACCACAUUGAGUGAAGUAGCUGUCUAUCUCUCCAUACCAAGCCCUUGGGGCUUGCUUCAGACCAUAAAGGGCUUUAUGCAAACGAUAAACCUUGUCUUCUUUACCUUUAAUUACAAAACCUUCAGGCUGACUGACAUAAACUUCCUCUUGCAGCACACCAUUAAGGAAAGCAGACUUCACAUCAAGCUGGAACAAUUUCCAAUCCUUUUGAGCAGCUAGAGCAAUAAGUGUUCUAAUGGUGUCCAAUCUGGCUAUAGGUGCAUAAGUCUCAUUAUAAUCCAGUCCAGGCUUCUGAGCAUACCCCUUAGCCACUAAUCUUGCUUUAUUCUUUUGCACUGAGCCAUCCAAAUUCAGCUUUGUCUUGUACACCCACUUAACUCCAAUCACUGGUUUUUCAGUUAGUCUAUCUACCAAUUCCCAUGUUUCAUUCUUUUCAAUCAUCUGCAGUUCAUCUUCCAUAGCCUUAAGCCAAGAUUCAUCCUGAGCAACAUCAGCAUAUUUUUCUGGUUCCAUGAUACACAAGUUACACUGAGCUAGAACAUCAUCUAGCCUUCUCCAUUUUAGAGGGGUGUGAUCAUAAGCUUGAGUUCUCCUUUCUUCACUGCUUAUAUCACCUGGAGUUGAUGAAAUGCUCUCUUGCAUAUCCAAAGUUUGAGGUGUACCAGUAGAAUUCUCAUUAGAACUGUCAGAUUUCAAGUCCAAAUCAACUUGGUUUUCAAUUGAGUAUGUUGUCAUAACUGAACCAUUUUUGUUUGUCCAAUGCCAAGCAUUUUCUUCAUCAAAUGUCACAUCCCUUGAUAGUAAAAGCUUGUUAGAAACAGGAUCAAAAACUCUAUAUCCUUUUUCACAAGUUGCAUAUCCCACAAACACUCCCUUUGUACUCUUAGGAUCCCGCUUGUGUCUCAAUUCAGUUGGCACAUGAACAUAACACAGAGAACCAAACACUUUCAGAUGUGCAAUUCCAGGCUUCCUUCCACUAUAUGCUUCGAAUGGAGUAAUGUUGUUGAGAGCUUUGGUAGGACAUCUGUUCAGCAAAUAGAUAGCUGUAUGCACAGCUUCUGCCCAUAGGAAAUAAGGCAUUCCCUUCUCAUGUAACAUUGAUUUUGCCAUCUCAAUGACAGUUCUAUUCUUCCUCUCAACUACUCCAUUCUGCUGAGGAGUAUAGGCCAUUGUAAGCUGCCUUUGAAUGCCAUUAGCUUCACAAAACUCCAAAAAAUCAGUAGACAUAAACUCUCCACCCCUGUCACUUCUUAUGCACUGAACCUUGUGUCCAGUUUGUAAUUCAGUCAUGGACUUGAACUUCUUGAAACAAAAGAAGGCUUUUGACUUGUUUCUCAAGAAGUAUACCCAAAUCAUUCUUGUGAAAUCAUCUAUAAUCAGCAUGAAAUAUCUGUUCCUUGCAACAGACUCAUUUCUCAUGGGACCACAGAGAUCCACAUGUAUUAGCACUAGUACUUUGCUUGCUCUUUGAGCUUGAUCUUUUGGAAAAACAUUUCUGUGCUGUUUUCCAAAUUGGCACCCGUCACACACACCACUUUGUUCUUCCAAUUUUGGUAAACCAUGUACCAUUUCUUUAUCACUUAGCUGCUUCAAUCCUCCAAAAUGCAGAUGACCAAAUCUCUUGUGCCAAAUCCAUGUGGAUUGAAGAAAACUAGUCUUCAUUAGUAACUGUUUUUCAGCUAGAAAAGAGACAGGAUAGCAUCUGUUACUCUUCAUUUGCACCUUUAUGAUGAGAUAAUCCAUGGAUGGGCUAUCAAAUACCCUGCACAUCCCUUCUCCAAACACUAGACAGUACCCAUGUUCAUCCAUCUGCCCAACACUUAGCAGAUUUUCUUUCAAUCCUGGCAGAUACAUUACUUCUCUGAUGUAUUUCCUGCCCUUUGCUGUAUCAAUACUCAGUGAGCCAAUACCAGCUACACUCACUAAUGCACCAGUUGGCAUUUGUACUCUCCCAGCUACAUUAGUUCUCACAUCAACCAGCAAAUCUAAAUUUCCUGUCAUAUGAUUGCUGCAGCCACUGUCAAUGUACCAUUCAUUGGUUUUGAUCUCAGUGGUUGAGCAAUUGGCAUAAAACAGGUUUCCUGUAACCUCCAUUUGAUUUACACAAUUAGCCUUCUGCACAUUUUUGCUCACUGUACAGUCUCUAGCAAGAUGUCCAACUCUGUCACAGUUAUAGCAUUUUGGUUUUCCCUUAUACCUGCACUCACCAAAAUGAUGCUUUGAACACACCUUGCAUUGAGGCUUUGUGUUUUCCUGAUUUGAGAACUGUGUUGAAGUGUGGUUCUGUGCAGAAUAAUUAUUCUGCUGUGUCUUGUCUUUUGCCUCCCAUGACUUCCCUUUAGAGUUCCAGCUUCUCUGUGACUUAGAUGAACCAGACUGAGAAGCAUUUUUGUUCUGACCCUUUGAAUUCACAGUGAAUGAGGCAAAUGCCUUCUCAGCUGUAUCAACACUAUGCAUUUCAAGCCUUUGCUCCCGACUCUUCAAAAUGGCAGUUACUUCCUGCAAAUCCACAGUUUCUAGUGUCUUUGUGUUUUCAAUCACAAUGCAUAUAGGGUCAUACUUCUUACUUAGACUAAUUAACACCUUCUGAACCUACCUCUCAUUUGACAGAACUUCACCAAAUGUUUUCAUUUGGUUAAUCAAUUCAGUUAGUCUAGUAAGAUAUUCAGAUAAGGUUUCACUAUCACGCAUCCUACUGUAUUCAAACUCACGUCUAAGGUUUUGAAGCUUUACCGAUCUAACAUGCUCUCCACCAUGAUAUUCUGAGUACAGCAGAUUCCAAGCCAUCUUUGCAGAGUCAGCAUUGGCAAUUCUGGGAAAAAUCUGAUCAGAAACAGCAUUUUGAAUGAUACCCAAGGCCUUCGCAUCCUUCAUGAGAAUCGCAGCUGUUUUCUCAUCAACUUCUUCUUCUGAACCAUCCUCAGAUUCCUGCUUCGUCUUUGAAUCUGGGAUUAAAAACCCCUUCUCUACCAAACCCCAUAAACCAUAUGAUCUGAAUAUGGUUACCAUCUUAAUCCUCCAAAAUUCAUAGUUCUCACCUGAGAAAAUGGGGAUUCUAGCCUCUGAACUUCCAGAUCCAGCCAUUACGAAUUUCAGAUUCGCCUGGAAACAAGAUGUUUUCAGAUUUGACCCUUGAUCGAGCUCAAUCAGCUUCGUGAGCUUAGAAUGAGCUCACCUCGAUCGAUUUUCUUCACAGAACAACGCCCAGCUUCAGAUAAUCAAACUUGGCUCUGAGGCCAUGUUAGAGUUUUAGGAUCUGAGUGUUAGAUAUUGUGAGAAGAGAGAAGAGAAUUUAGUGAAAAUUUCCAAUACUGCUCUGCUAUACGUGUAGCAGAGAGAACAUUCUCUUUUGCUAUAUAUUUUCAGUACAACAACACACACUUGGUGUGAGAAGAAAAAUGACUGUUAUGCACAGUACCAGCUGGAUGCUUUCCAUCAAAGUAAUCUCAGCCAUUCACUAUCUAACCAAUCAAGCUAUGACACCUGGACUAAGUAUAAAGAAAUACAACUAAGCAGAAAACAAGACUCUUAAUCCUGAAAUCAACUUAAGCACUUAUAAUUCAACAUUGUUACCAUAAGAGCCAGCUCCGACUUUCUUUAAUUUCAGUCCUAACGGGGUUUCAUCUUCCACUCAUCUUUGCUCUUCUCAGUGUAAGCUCUGCAAUUUGAUUAACUUUCCCAUUAUCUCUCACUGUACUCUAUAUAAAGGAAUAAGUGUCGUCCACUAAUUAAUUACACUUUGUGAGAUUUGAUUUUAAUUAGAGUUCGAAUUGAUGUUGCAGCUAGCAGCGGUGGCACUGGCAAACCAUGCUGCUCAACCAGCACCUCAACUUUACUGGAACUCCGUCCUGCCAAACACACAAAUGCCAAGAGCUAUCAGUGAACUUCUGCAUCCUGGUUUGUGUUGAAUAAAUAUAGUAUGUUACUGGAGUACGUAUGGCAACAUAUUCACAAAUGUGUCACGUAUUUUCCAAUAUGACGUUGAUAUAUAAUUGCAGACUCCACAAACGAAGAAAAGAGCACAAAUGUCAUGAAUGCUGUUGGGAAUGGAAAGCCAAUUGACCACAAGGGCAACCUGAAAAUACUGUACUACCACAGCUUGCACGACGCCCAUUUUCUUACAAGAGUGAUGAUCGUCCCACUGACAAUCAACUCCAUUAUAAAAACGUAGCUAUUUUCUUCUUGGAGAAGGACAUGCGCCCUGGCACAACAAUGAGCUUCCAAUUCCCUAGAAAUUCAAACACGGCUACUUUCCUGCCACCAGAAAGAGCUCAAUCGAUCCCCUUCUCCUCUAACAAACUACCAGAAAUUUUCAACCAUUUUUCAGUGAAGCCAACAUCUGUGGAAGCCAAAACAAUUAAGCAAACAAUCGAAGAGUGUGAGGCUCCAGGCAUUAAGGGAGAGGAAAUAUAUUGCGCCACAUCUUUAGAAUCAAUGGUUGAUUUUAGCACUUCGAAUUUUCGAACAAGAAACGUUCAAGCAAUCUCGACAGAGGUAUUGGAAAAAGGUGCCACCAUGUCCAUGCACAAGCAUACAACAAUGCCGGGACUGAAGAAGUUGGCAGGUGACAAAGUCGUUGUGUGUCAUAAGCAGAACUAUCCCUAUGCUGUGUUUUACUGCCAUGUAAUAAAACCAACAGCAGCUUAUGUUCUCUCCCUGAAAGGCGAUGAUGGGGUGAAGAUUAAAGCAGUAGCCAUCUGCCAUCUAGACACAUCAGAAUGGAACCCAAAGCAUUUGGCCUUCCAAAUCCUCAAAGUUAAGCCCGGAACAAUUCCCAUCUGCCAUUUCCUUCCCACUGAUCAUAGUGUCUGGGUUCCGAACCACAAAUCUGCAUGAUCAUCACUUAGCACUGUACGUAUAAUAAGCUUGCACCCCUGUAUAAUUAUCUCCCUACUCUACUUAUUUCUGCCUCUUCAUGUGGUGUAAGAUAUAUGAUGAGAUGAAGUUUUUGGGAUUAGUGGUCGGGUUGCCUUAAAAACACAGAUUACAGAAACUGCUUGAACUUAACCCGAUCAUGUUUUCUCUUGUACUCGUAAAGCAUGCUGUUGUGGUUCUACUUAAUUUCGUUCUCCCCAAUGUUUGAGUGUUUAAUUGUUACGUUGGAUAAUGCUUGUAGUUAGAGAAGCCUUCAUUUAUAUCAAAGUCCUCAACUUGUAAAGAUAUCAAUGGUCCUAGUGCUGCCACGUGUAAGAAGAUUGAAGAAUAAAGCUGUUGAGAUAUUGUUAGACCUGUUAUGCAGUUUAGGAAAACUGUUAGUAUUGAUAAGAGAAGGUUAGAGAUGUUAGAGAGGUUAGAAAACACGUGAACAAGGCUUUAACUCAGCUGAUAUAAAGUCUGUAGUUGUGCUCAGUUGAACUUAAUGAGAAAUACAACAAGUCUCUUCUCUAUCUCUGAAAUUCUCUCUGCUCUCUCUGCUUUACUUCUUUUGUCUCUGCUCUACAUUUUUUUUCAAUCUUCCUAUCUUAACAAAACUAUCAAGAAUUAAUGCAUCCAGAAACAUAUAUACCAAGACGCAAAACAACAUAUUUUUCAUGCUCUGUCUGUAACACCAAAGCAAACUUCCUUUAUCACAAAAGGAUCAAAUUCCAGUACUAAUCUAAUCCAUCAUGUAAAGCAUACAAUCUACAAGUGCCUCCCUUAAUUUGUCCAUUGGAUAUAUAUGUCACUUUUUGGUAAUUUGGUAUAGCAGCACCACGUAGUCUUGAAAUAGUAGUGCGGCUAUACCAAAUAUACCAUUUGCCCCUGCAUUUAACAGAAAAGUAAACAAAAUUGACGGUAGAACUAUUUGUCCUAACGAAACUGCAGUUGAAAGACCAUGAGAACGAUUUUGAAAAUUGAGGGACUCAAAUGAAAAUUGGGUCUAAGUUCAAGAACCAAUAAAACGAUUAACCCAUAGAUUUUGGAUCCAGUACCACAUCCCAAAGAGAAAACCACAAGUUUGCAAGCAAGUUUGUCCAUAAUAACACUACGUACAGUAUGGGCAGUGCGCUAGACUCAUCUCACUUUCUCAACCUAUCCUAUAGUUGUCUAAAAGAGUUUCUAAUUUAAUGUACUGAGAUUUACGAAAGAAAUAUCAGAGAAACAAUUUUCAGGCAAUAAAAAAAUGUCUUGGCAAGAAAAUGUACAAUUUGUUACAUAACUUAUUAAAUAUGAACAGUUGAAAGAAAAAAGAAUCUGGAUGAGGGAUUUGCAAAUUCCUAUGGCCCAAUUACCUUUUUUUCUUUGUUGUUUUUUUUUUUUUUUUUUUGGUUCUUUUGAUCCAGUAGCAUAUUCCAAAGAAUGAAAACCACAGGCAUGCAAUGCAAGCUCUUUUCCCACGUUUUCCUCUGUUUUUCUCCUAUCAUGGAAGUGAUUAAAACACACCUCUAAGCUUGUUUUGCGUUUGGUAGCCGAGUGUAAAAGCUCAAUGCAAGAUAGUUUGAGGUAGAAUUUUCUCCUAUUUUAUUAGGACAAUGAUAAUUAAAAAAAAGUGUGAUUCAUUGAAUAUUUGCGGGGUUUUGUUCAGACCUGACAAAGUUCUAAGUCAACACAUCAAAUUCCUUUUUCCAACAUGCAACAAUUGUAUUUGAUUCCCAAUUUUUUCUGAUAUACAUCACAUCAUGCCACUUGCAUCAAAUGAAUUUAAUUGAGUGAGGCAAUGGGAAGUAAUUAAGCUCUGUAUUCGUGGGUGGAGUGUUACUUCUGGAACCCUAAUAAUUCGUCCCUACAGGACUCUAGAACUCUCAAACUUCUUACAAGGACUACUUAACUCUAUAGCUUAAUGCAUAUAGCAUAUAUAUGCAAACACAAUUAGAAAUUCUACAACAGAAGCAAGAUCAAUCUCACUAUGCCUUCUAAACAAACAAACAAAUAAAACAAGCAUAUUAAUUGCUUUAAUCACUCUACUAACAUCAACACAGCACACUUAGUUUACUAACAGAUGAUAUAGAAAGGAAAAAAAAGGACCAAUAGGGAGAAAAUGGUGAACUAAGGAGAGACUAAUACUUCUGGUCCUUAGAAGGCAUAACAGAAAUAAUAGAGCACACUGCUUGAAUGCAAGUCAGUAUUAGGAGCAAAACAGCUGCAAUGAAAGAAAUAGUUGCCCAAGGUGUAUUGAAAUAAUGUUGCCUCAAAUUUGCCUUCCAUUUGUUCCAAGGCUUUCUGCAGUAGCUAUUAAGGCGCUCAGAAAGAAUAGCAAAGUAGAAGCUUUCACGAUACACUGCAAUUCCUUUUCCGAGGUUGUUAAUCAGAGUGCACACCUCAUUGUAGUCACCAAGCAUAUUUUUGACAAUCCCAUCCUUCAGAAGGAACUCCACAUCCUUUUCGGUGUUCACAAACUCAUCCAUGAGUGAAACAUAAUCACUUAUGUAAUUCUUACGGCAAUGGCACUAUUCAAAGGCAAUGAGGUUACGGAGUGUGAGCUCUGUGUAAUCGUGUAUUUUUAGUUUUGGAAUUUCUAGAAUCCCAUCGUUGAAUUGUGUUAACGCAGCUUUCCUUUCCUAGCCUACACGGAAGUCAACUUCACAAUCUCCUCCUAGCAAUUAGUCUUUCCUGCUGUAAAUCAGAUUUCCUACUGUAAAUCGGAUUGUAUUCAUGUCUAUAUUAUUUCCUACUUUAAGUAGAUAUCUUGUACUAGUAUAAAUAGGGACUUUGUGUAAUCUGUUAAAUACAAGGAAAUAUAUACUCUGCAUGGUAUCAGCCUAACCUAGGGUUCUCUCUCUCUCCCUUAUUCGAUCCUCUUCUCCUUUAGGUCCACCUCAUGGCUUUGUCUGAAUCCACCAUCUCCCUCCCAAGCCCCAACUCUUCUAUUUUAUCAAGCUUAUUGACUCCAACUAUCUUCUUUGGCUCCGCCAACUCAAACCCUUUUUAGUCGGCCAUGACCUCUGGAAAUUUAUCGAUGGCAUUCAUAAACAACCUUCUGCCCACACCUCCACCUCUACCACCGCAACACCCACAACCACCACCACUCUUACCCAAAUCAAUCAUGCCCAUGCUCAGUGGUACCAACAAGACCAACUCAUUGUUAGCUACAUCACCAAUACACUCUCUGAGUCCAUUCUCUUUCUCACUGUUGGUUGCACCUCUGCCCGGGAUCUCUGGGAGUGUCUCCAACGCCACUUCUCUCAAUCCAGUAUGGCCAGUGAAUCUACUCUUCGUUUUAAACUCAUGGAUUUGCAAAAAGGCUCUGAACCCACUUAUGCUUACAUUCGUCAUGCUAAGUCCUUUGCCGAUUCACUGGCUGCCAUCAAUGAACCUGUCUCCCCAAAAGAACUUGUCACUACUGUGCUUUGGGGUUUAAGACCCUAUUGCAACAUCCUCGUCACAGCAAUUCUCAAUUUCCCUCUGCUUCCUAACUUUGCUAAUCUUCGUGCUCGUUUGUUAGCAUUUGACGCACAGACUCCUUGAAUCUCUCCUGAUCAAAACACAGCGCAAAUGGCCACCCAAUCCUCUCCUCACACCACCGGUCAUACUUCCUUCCCUUCUCACCGUGGUGGUGGCUCUUCCAACAACAGGCGUGGUGGCCUCGGUGGCUGGCGCAAUAGCGGCCGGGGUGGCUGGCGCAGCUUCUCAUCUUCCUGGAGCAACCCGUGGAAUGGCUUCCAGCAGCUCCAAUGACCUAAUCAACCAUGGCCUCCUUUUGCUCCAAGUUCUGGAUCUCAAAGCAACUGGCCUUCCUUUCAGCCUCCUUGGGCCUAAUCUGCCGCUUCUAUCAAACACUUUGCCCGGCCCAACUCAGCUCCUGGUGUCUUGGGACCCGCUUGGUGCACUACCUGCAAUACCAAUCACAUACUACUACAAUAUGUCCUCAUCGCUACAAUGGCCCAGAAUCCUUUCUUUGCUAGGGCUCAAUUCAUGUAGCCACCUGACUCUACUUGGUACCCUGACACAAGUACCACUCAUCAUAUGAUUGGUAGUCCUUCUAAUCUCCAAAAUCAAUCCUUCUAAUCUCCAAAAUCAACAGCCAUAUCAGGUUCAUAAUUCUGUAUUUCUUGGUAAUGGAGAUUCUCUCCCUAUCUCUCAUACUAGCUCUCUCUUUUGUCUUCCAUCUCUUCGUACUAAUCUUCUUUUUGUUGCCCAUUUUACUUGUGAUAAUUUAGUUUUCUUUGUCUUUACUCUUGACUUUUAUCAAAUCUAUGACUUAUGUACUGGUUCGUUACUCUUUCAGGGCCCUUCUAAAGAUGGUCUUUACCCACUUUCCAUCUCCUCUCACUCAUCCAUAGUCCCCCAUGCCCUUACCACCGUGCACUCUCCUGCUUGGCAUCAUUGCCUUGGCCAUCCAUUCCAUCGUGUGCUCUCUCAUUUAGCGCCAUCUCUAGGCUUUAAAGUUUCUCAUGCUUUCUGUAAGGAUUGUGCACUUAGCAAAUCCACCAAACUGUCAUUUCUUAGUAAUAAAACCUUUGCCCCAUCUCCCUUUUAUUUAAUUCACUCUGAUGUAUGGAUGUCCUCGGUCAUUUCUGUCACUGGUUAUCGCUAUUAUGUCUUGUUUACAGAUGACUUUUCUCGUUACUCCUGGAUCUAUCAUAUGCACCGUAAAAAUGAGGUCUUUUCUCACUUUCAAACCUUUCUUGCUAUGGUUAAAAAUCAAUUUCACACCACUGUACAAAUUCUUUAAAGUGACAAUGGCACUGAAUAUGUUAAUAAUGCUUUCUCUGAUCUUUGCAGUCAACUAGGCAUCCACCAACGUUUCACAUGUCCCCACACUCCCCAACAAAAUGGCCUAGCUGAACAUAAACACAGACACAUUGCCACCAUGAUCUGUCCCCGGUCAUUUAUUCAACCAUCUUGACCUUUUGCUUGAUCAUUUUCCACAAGCAACCGUCCACGUACCCCAAUAAUUUAAAAGGGCUGAUGAUCUUUAAUUUGGUGAAAGCUUCUAUCUACCUACCGUGCUAUAUAUGAGCUAUGCAAUCGUGACCGUGUUACAUGACGUCCCAAUGUCGUAGGGAUAAAAAAAUAAUAGUCAUGGUUUUCUUAUUAAUGUCAAUACAUUCAUAGCAAAGAGCUUGUAGCUCUAGUGGUUAAGAGCAAUUACCCAUGCACUUGAGAUAUUUUGUGUUUAAAUCCCCUCUUCCCCAAUAUUUCUUGUAUAAAAAUAAAAAUAACAAUAAUAAUGACAUUAAUGUUGUAUUCUAUAAAGUGUUGGACAUGUUUUAUACCCCUUUCUUGCAAAUUACAGUUUGCCACGUGUACAAAAAUAAUAGAUAAGUGUUGGACAUCAAGAGCACUUACAUAUAGGUUUAAUAGGUAAGUUUUGAAUAUUUCUGUAUUUAGCUUUAAAUAUUGAAAAUCAACCUAUUAGCAUAUUAAAGAUUUGUCCAUAUUCGACGUACAUUCUCUUAUUUUUCUCUCAUUGAAGUAAAUACAAAACUAAGCACAUAGUGGGAAAGUGCGUCACGAUUAGGGGUGGGUUUAGUCUAGGUUGGUUCAUUUUUGGGCUCAAUUUGAACACCGAACUGUAAGCUUCGGUUUGGCUAUUUUGGAAACCGAAACCAAACCAUAAUUGAUGAAAACCGACCACUUCGAUUACCUUCUGGUCUUCCAACCAGAAGAAAACUCAAAACUUUAACCAUACCAAGUGCAACAGAAUUACACCAGGCUGGAUUCAAGUUUAUGAUGGUUAAAGAUAAAAACUUAUUUGACAUACAAUUUGAGAAUGGAAUCCUCAAAAUUCCACACCUGCGAAUACGGGGUUUAACAGAAAUUUUCUUCCGCAAUCUUAUUGCCUAUGAGCAGUGUGAGCUUCAUGAUCAUUACAUCAACGACUAUGUCUUCAUCAUGGACCGCCUGGUCGACAGUGCCAGGGAUGUGGAAUUGCUUGUGAAGAGUGGAAUUCUUGAAUCUAUGCUACCGGACAGCGAGGCAGCAGGGGAAUUUAUUAAUUCUCUUGACUUGGGGCCUAUUUUAGGCAAGCUUGAAACAAGACUAUUUCAGUUCACCAUGGGCUGGCCUGUCUAUUAUUGUAGCCGCUAUACUAGUUGUGCUCACAUUUAUUCAAACAGUGUGCUCCGUAAUGGCGCUGUAGGUUCUUCAUUUCCUCAAUUUCAUGUUUAGUGGUUGCAGAUUUGUUGCUCAUGUACGUGUUUAUCUAAAGUUAAAUAAGAGUGAUUGACUGGAUUGACUGUUAGUCUGUUAGUUUGUUUUUCUGGGGUUUUUCCCCCCUGUUCGUCAAAAAAAAAAAUAAAAGAGUGAUGGCUUGUGCCUAUGAAAAUUACUUAGGAGUAUGCUCCACAGAGCCAAAAUAAAUAAACUAGGGAAGUGGAGGUUCUUCUGUUUGUAUAUAAAUGAGCAAUUCAAACUCUCAGUGCCAAGGGAGUUACCCUUGAUACAUUUGUUAAAAAUUAUAUAUUUGGUCUUACAUCAAACAAAUAAUUUGAAGGGCUUUUUUGACAACUGCUGACAGCGUUUGGCAGAAAAGUUUAGAAGCGCUUCUACGCUUCUAGAUCAUAAAAGUGCUUUACCAAAAAGCACUUAGAUUUCUUAUGAAAAUUUCAACAUUUUUAUAAUAAAAGCGCUUGCUAGAAGCACUUAUAAGCAGAAGUGCUUCAUAGAGAAGCAGUCCCAAACGAGCUUGAUUUUCAAAUGUGCUGCUUAAGAAGAAAUUUAAUACGUUUUGAAAACAAAAAAAAAUACGAAAUUUAAUACGUUUGUUUUACAAAUUGUAUUAAUUGUUAUCAAUAAUACUUGUGCACACCCACAACAUACUUCUUUCUUUCUUUAUUUUCCUUCAGUACAGUUCUGCCUUUCUUUAAUUAUUUUUAACGAAUGCAAAGAGUUUGUCACAAAAUCAAGGAUUGAAAAAAAAAGAGAGUAAAUUAUGUGCUAGAGAAACUUUCCUGCAGAAAUUGAAGAACAACUCUAGUUUCUCUCUUUCGCCUUGUACUCCCGCACUGAGGUUAGUAUUGUUAUAAUGUGCAGAUUAUACGGUCACUCUUGUAUAAUGGCGAGAAGGCUCUAAUUAUAUUUUUGAACCUCUUUGACAGGACCCGCCCCGAAUUUCCCGAAACCCAAGACGAAUUCUGUGGAAAUUCCCUACAUCACCCCGAUGUUGGGCCCACUUCUAAAACUAUAUCAUUUUUCCUAAAAAGGAAUAAGGGCACGAGACUUUCUACCGAAAUUUCGGCAGAGUCUCUCCUGUAAAUUGAACAUUUCCCAAAAUUUCAACCUGCAUAAAACACAUUUUAUAUUACCCAACUGGCAGCAUGCACAAAAUAAUAACAUGCAAUUCACAUAAACGGCCUCUGGCCCUCCGGUAAUUCAGAGCAAUGCAAACUAGCAACUCUAAACCUAAUAAAACAACAUAAGUAACAUUUAGCCAGCGGCUGCACCCAGGCACUACCCUAGGCUACCUACGUACCCUUACUAAGGGAUCAAGCCACACGUAGUUCUUUCAUACAAAAUUUCCAAAUCCAUCAACAUGCAAUCAAUUACAGAAUCCCAAACAAAAUCUUUCUCAAACAUCAUUAGUUCCCAACUCAGUAUAAUAAUCCUUAAUUCAUCUCUGUAAUAAUCACAAUAUCUCCCCAUACGCCGGAACUACCAACACCACGUAUGGAGCCUGCCUGUACGCCAGAUAACCAACGACACGUGGGACCUCAUCAUCAUAUCACAUAAUCUCCCCAUACGCCGAAACUACCAACACCACGUAUGGGGUCUGUCAACACGCCGGAUAACCUACGACGUGUGACCUCAACAUCAAAUCACAAUAUCUCCCCAUACACCGGAACUACCUACGCCACGUAUGGGGUCUGUCCACAUGCCGGAUAACCUACGACACGUGGGACCUCAUCAUCAUAUCACAUAAUAUAUUAACGAUCAAGAAAUAUCACUACGGUCAUUUAAUCCUCCUGGGAAGGUAAAACUAUCUCAGGAGACUCACGGUCAACCAAGGGUCAAACUACCUCAUACUUGGACAAACGAGCCCACGGAGCCCACAACCUCCGUUUUACUAUCCAAGAGUUCCUAUAGGUUCUACAAGGUUUAGGAUACACGGCUUGCAAGUUUGGUCAAGAUCAGACGGUCGGAUCGCUCACGAUAGGACGGUUACUGCAAACCUAGCCCUAGGGUUGGCAUUUUCGGAGUAUCCGAAACUCCGUUUUACGAUCUGUCGAAUCAUAGACGAUCCUAAGGAUUUGCAGACUAACUAUAAUAAAUUCAAGACCAUCCAACGGUCUAAACCUAUCGAACCCGGAUAACGCGCAAUAGGCAAUAUCCAAAUUGAAAUCCGAGCACACCUACGCACUCGUGAGGACUAGGAGAUUACAUCGGGACAUAGUGCCCUUUUUCUACAGUGCCCAUGAGCCGCCGCACGCACCAGCAACGCGUGGGUGCCCAAAGCGAUUAUGCAUCGCCAAAAAAUCUCAAAACCACGGCUCAAGACUCCUACCCUAGGUAUAACACCCUAUUUGGAACCACUUUUGUUCUUGGACCUACCCCAAAAACUGAUCAGAAGUGGCCGGAAUGGCUGAAAUGUAAUUCAAAAAUCAAGCUACCAACGCUCAAAAUCGAUGCAAUCCUACCCAACCAUCAACUAGAUUAUGAAGAAUGGAUAAAUUUCCAUACCUUGAUCGCCAACAAUGGCGGCCGGAGGAGAGAGAUCUGAUCCGGCGAAGUUCGAGUGAAAACGGCCAAAAAUCAUCUUUUUCAGGCGGCUGGAGGGCGACCGAUGUCAGGGAAGGGCAGGGUCGUGACGCUAAGGCUGAGCCUGUCCUUUUGGCACCGGUCCCUUCCGCAGCCGUGUCCGGUGGCUGGAGUUUCGAAGAGAGAGAGAGAGAGAGAGAGAGAGAGAGAGAGAGAAAUCUGAUUUUUAUCAAACCUUUUUGCCAAAAUUACGGUUAUGCCACUGAGGGUAUUUUGAUAGUAUCUCUCUCGUUACAACUUCGAUUCGAGCCCACCACGUGUGUACGGACUCAUCUAACUGUGUUGUACGCAACGGUAUAGUCGAAAUUCCCAAAUUAUUUCCUUGUCAAAAAGUCAACUUUAAACAUUAUAAAAUAUUUUAGGGAAAAAAUGGUAUUUUCUCUCAAUAAAUUAGUAACUAAUUUAUUUAGGACUGGGUCAUUAUACUCUUUUUCGCUUCAAUGGAUGGGAAAAAAUUUUAUGUAAUAUCCCACAUCGACCAACGAAGAGGGGGCGAUGUGUCUUAUAUGUACAUGCCCGCCUCCAUCUAGCAUAAGGCCUUUUGGAAGCUCACUGGCUUCAGAGUCAUGGGAACUCCGAAGUUAAGCGAGUUGGGGGCUAGAGCAAUCCCAGGAUGAGUAACCCACUGGGAAGUUGCUCGUGAGCUUCGAGAAACAAAACCGUGAGGGCAGAGAGAGGGGCCCAAAGCGGACAAUAAGGCCUCGUGCUAGAUGGAGGCGGGCAUGUACAUAUAAGGCACAUCACUCUCUCUCCGUUGGUCGAUGUGGAAUGUUAGAAUGGAAUUGUUACCUUUGGUGUGGAGGUGUUCUAUCAUUUGAGCAAGAAAUUCCCACAUAUUCUUCAACUAUUUUUCAAGCAUGCAUAUUCCUCCCUAUCAAUCUUUGGUUUCUUCCUUUACUGUGCAUAGUAAGGAUCCAGUCAGGGACGGACCGUCGCUAUGACUAUCCUGGGCUAUAGCCCAGGCAAAUUAUUUUUUUUUCUAGUCUAAAAUAGCAAUCCCACCGCUUGCUGUAGUACUUGUUCAGUUCGUCACAAACAUGAGCAUAAUAGAAGUUAUCAACAUCUAUAUAGGAACCCCAAUGAAAAGGCUGUUAACUAAUAAUGAAGUUAACCCGUCAAUUUUUCCGCAUAUCAGAUAUCUCUCAGAAUAUGCGAUUCCAUAUUCAAUAAGCCACUCCACAUGCCCUGAGGUUUUCAUCAAACCACCCAUUAAGGAAACAUACUGACUCAUGUAAUUAUCAUUACUCAUCGGGUAAUGCAAUUGUUCAAAGGCAAGGACAUUUCUCAUUAUUUAUGUAGCGAACCCCAAUGGAAAUGGUGGGAUCUUCAGAACCCCAUCGGUGCUACUGAAUUGUAUGUCAAAUAUGUUUUCACCUUGUCACGCCUCAAACUUGACUCCAGCGUGCUGUAAUUCUGUCAAGCUGGGUAUGGAUGAUGGGAGUUUGAUGCAGGAGCAUAGGGGUGGAUCAAGAUAGAUAUUUACUAUUUAAUUAGUUAUUUCAUGAUAUAUUGUUAUUUUCUUAUUUAGGUAGUUUUAUGAUAUCUUUUAUUAUUUAUGUGUGAUUUUAUAAUUAAUUAGUAUACUUUUGGACCAAGUAGCCUUGGUGCUCAAGUCUUGUAAAGCCUAUAAAUAAGGCUAAUGUAAUAGUUGUAGAAUAGAUGUCGAUGAUUAAUAAAAUCGUUUAUUUGUGGCAUGGAUUUGCUACGAUAUAUGUGAGUUUGCACUAGCCCUAGAUUUCAGUGCUCGUGUAUGUGGUUGGUGACCUGUGUCCGGAUCCCGAUCCCCAUCAAUUGGUAUCAGAGCUAUGGCUCAAGAUCUGCUAUAUCGGGGAGGUUUUUGGAUGGAGGGUCGUUUUAACAACUACAACGACAUGGAGGAAAUUAGGAGGAUGCUACGGCAACUUAUGGAACACAUUGCUCGCAUUGAAGCUCGAACCCAGAUAGGUAAGAGUUCUGACGGGGAGGGAUGUGUGAACCCUUAUCUGAACCGAGUAGCUCGCAUCGACACUCUAAGCCGUGAGAGUCUCGACGGGGAGUACGAGGGAGAUAGCCCUUUUCAUUAUUGUGCUCCGCUGUGUGAGUCAAGUGAAGAGGGGCACGGUUAUUCUCAUUGUGUCUUUGAAGGUAUAAAUGAAUUUAGUAAUUUUGGUGCAUCUUGUUAUUCAUCAAAGUUAUUAAAUUUGGAUUUACCUCCAUUAUUUGAUCCUUGCAAUUGUGAAAAUUGCAAUAAAAAUUGUUUGGGUGUUCAAAGCAAUUUUGAUAAGCAAUUUAUUGACCAGAACAGUGAAGAGAUGAGAAUUGAGAAAACUUUCGAAGAUAUUAUUGAUUUUAUGGGCAUUAAUAUUUUCACUUGGAAGGUUGCCAAAAAUCUGGUUGAUUUUGUCAAUCGGUUGAAGAUUCUAGAGAGAAACAUUUGCAUUGCUAGAGGGAGUAAGAAGUCAAGAAUAACGAAAUAUUCCAAAUAUCUUUUUAUUUGGAAAGGAAGGUUUCAAUUGGAUGCUAAAAGAUCCAAAAUUAAUAUGCAGCAAUUGAAGAUUCUACUCGGAUUUUCCUUAAUCAAAGGCUUGAAUUCGAGGACGAAUUCUUUCCAACUAUGGGAGUCUGAUGCAGGAGCAUAGGGGUGGAUCAAGAUAGAUAUUUACUAUUUAAUUUGUUAUUUCAUGAUAUAUUGUUAUUUUCUUAUUUAGGUAGUUUUAUGAUAUCUUUUAUUAUUUAUGUGUGAUUUUAUAAUUAAUUAGUUUACUUUUGGACCAAGUAGCCUUGGUGCUCAAGUCUUGUAAAGCCUAUAAAUAAGGCUAAUGUAAUAGUUGUAGAAUAGAUGUCGAUGAUUAAUAAAAUCGUUUAUUUGUGGCAUGGAUUUGCUACAAUAUAUGUGAGUUUGCACUAACCCUUGAUUUCGGUGCUCGUGUAUGUGGUUGGUGACCUGUGUCCGGAUCCCGAUCCCCAUCAGAGUUCCCCUCCAGCUUUUGAUUCCAACGGUUGAUAGAGUUUAAAUAUUUUCCUGAAAAGAUCAAUAAUAUGUGCCACUGAUCUAAAAGUCUCCAAAUUGUCUUCCAAUUUGUCAACAGGCAAUAGAUGUUCGAAGAAACUGAAAGAAAUACAAAUUAUUGAAAGCCCCUCAGUAAUGCUGUUAUUGUCAGCAUUAGCAGGGAGUGUAAUUUUCUGUGGGUCGAAAAGAUCCUCGAGAAUGAAGAAUGGCAACUGAUUUUCAAGCAACCACGUAUCUGUCCAUGCAUCUUGCAACAUACCUGGUUUGUCAAAUAUGCGGUCAUUUUCGUCCCAAAAUUUGAAGUAGUCCUUCAAUAAGGGCUCAAUAACGAAGGCGGCGCCCACUAGAAUGAUUGUUACAAAUUCAUCACUGCUAAACUUGAUGGGUUCUCCAUAACAACGUCUCAAUCUUGCUUCGUGGUCCUUUAUUUUCUUAAUAUAAUCCUCCAAACUCACAUUGGUCCGACCUAUAAAAUCUUGCAGGUAUCUCUGUUUGUUCUCUUCCAAUACGACAUUCAAGCCUUCCUUUCCAUGGUGAAGUGGACCUAUAGAGACCGACUGCCUGAGGUGUGCAGAGCUUUUCAUUCACACAUACGUAGAUAAAAUGUCUGGGGGCUCAGAGAGUGAUGAAUGUGCAACAGCUAAUGGGAGGGUUUAUAUUCCUGAAGUAAGAAAUGAGGAAACACCAGCAGUUGGGAUGAAGUUUGACUCGCUUGACCUCGUUUACAAUUUCUAUAAUAGAUAUGCAUUCUUGGCUGGCUUUGGUAUUCGACUUCAUUCUAGCUUUUGGGGGAAAAAUAAGAAAGAGAUUUUGAGGAAAGAAUUUGUAUGUUGCAAACAAGGUGCAUACAAGAAGGAUGAAACUCGGGAGAGAAAAAGACAACGGGGAAUAAGUAGAUGCAAUUGCAAAGCAAAGAUUGUGGUUGUGAAGACAAAUGGGAGCAAGAAGUAUACCAUUUCUCUUUUUGCAGAGGGACACAAUCAUAAGAUGACACCCUCAGAAAGAAUGCAUUUAUUGAGAUCACACCGUCAUAUUUCAGAUUCUACAAAAGUACUCACAAAACAGUUGGGUUCAGUUAAUAUUCCCAUUCAUCAGAAGGUAAGUAUAUUCGAGGUGCAAUCCGGAGGAAUGGAUAAAAUCGGUUUUAUCAAAAAAGAUAUCUACAAUCUUGAAUGUAGUGUGAAUGGGAAGCUGAGGAACCACGAUGUUGAACUAGUGACCGAGUAUUUUAUGGCUGAACAGAAAAAAAAUGAGGCUUUUUAUUUCAAGAUUGAGGGAGAUGGGCAUGACAGGUUUAGUCGAUGUUUUUGGGCAGAUGCAACUUCUAGACGGGCGUAUGGGUUUUAUGGAGAUGUUGUUGUAUUCGAUACCACAUUCAACACGAAUCGAUACGACUUGACAUUUGCACCAAUGUUGGGAGUUAAUAACCAUGGUCAGACAAUUGUCUUAGCAUGCGCAUUUUUGAGCAAGGAAACGACUGAGUCGUUUGUUUGGAUGUUUGAGGAGUUUAAGAAAGCCAUGCCAGGUGGGGAACCUAAAACGAUCAUUACAGAUCAAGAUGCGGCAAUGGCCAUAGCGAUUUCAAUAGCCUUCCCGAGUACAUUUCAUCGACUUUGCAUAUGGCACAUCACAUCAAAGUUCUCUGUUAAGUUACCACGUGACGCUUAUAAGGAGUAUUGGCCUGAAUUUCAGAAAGCCAUAUGGGAUACUGACAAUAAGGAUGAGUUUGAUGCAAAAUGGAAUAUUGUGGUUAUAAAGGCUGGUUUGACUGACCAUCCAUGGCUAAGUUCAAUGUUUGAUUUAAGGGAAUCUUGGGUUCCAGCCUACGCACGACAAUUUUUUGCCGCUGGAAUGUCAAGCAGCCAAAGAGCGGAAGGUUCUCAUGGUUUUUUCAAGCAAUACAUAUCAAGGAGAAAUUCGUUGAUGGAUUUCAUAAUACGAUUUGAGAGGGCAUUUUCUCAUCAACGUGAAAAAGAGUUAGUUGCUGAUCACGUAGAUGCAUUUGAAGUGGCUCAAUGUCUUCUACCGAUGCCAAUGAACAAACAAAUGGCUACCUUGUACACAAGGACAAUGUUUCAAAAGUUUGAGCAAGAACUAAUACAAAGUACAGCAUGUUUCCUAGAGCUCAAAACAGAGGAUGCAUGUAAAGUUGUGUUCAACGUGAGCGAAAGGAAAAAUUGGGAAACAAGAGUGGCAGAAGUCGUAUAUGUCAAAGAUUCUGACCACGCAUCGUGUAGCUGCAAAAGAUUUGAAUUUGUUGGAAUUAUUUGCAAGCACAUCCUAGCAUUGUUCAGAAGGGACCAGAUUGAAUAUAUGCCCGAUAAAUAUAUUUUGAAGAGGUGGAAGAAAACUGCGAAAUGUGGAUUGGUGUCAGAUGCAAAUGGCAACGAAAUUAAAGACUGUGCAGAUCCUGGCCUUCUAAUAAAGCGGAGUACAAUGUCUCGACUUGCUUCAAAUGUGGUUGAGGAUGCAUUAAUGAGUGAAGAAGGAUGUGAGCUACUGUCAGAGACUCUAAAAAGUUUGCAGGUGAAGUUGAAGUUGCUGAAGGAUGGACCAAGUAAUAACGAAGUUGGAGGGUCCAGCUCUCAAACACAAUAUAUGAAAGACCCUAAGAGAGUGAGGUGCAAAGGAAGGUCGAAAGGAAUAACGGGAGCAAAGGAAAAGGCAAUGAAGCGAGGGAUUAGACACUGUCGGGAGUGUGGACACAUUGGUCAUGAUAGAAGACAAUGCCCAGCCUUGAACACACCGUAAGAUGCUACCACUAUUUGUAAUAAUAUCUAAAAUAUGAAAAGGUAAAAUUUUUAUGUGCUUGUGUUUGAUGUUUAUGCAGGACAUCACCGUCGAACAAUGACAAAUCAACUCCAAUACAUCGUAGUGACCCAUUAUUCGACGAUUUUGACAAGAUGCACAGACCAACUGAAUGAUUGAUAUUUGUAUUAGACGAAAUGUGGUUGUUAUGAAGAUUAAUGAUCAAGUGAAGUUUUAUAGAUUCAGUUUUUGAAUGUUAUUGUGUUUUUGUUCAUGUCCACCGAUGAGCUCUUACUAUGUCCACUGGUAAUUGAAAUGAAAAUUUUCUUGGUUUCAUUCUUCCAAGACAUUUGGAGACAUGUUAAUUUUACGUCUUCUCCCUAUUUAUAAAUUUUCAUAGACAUUUGAUCAAGUUUGAAAUUUGUAGUUAUGUGAAGAAGCAAUGACUCUUACCAUGUAAAAUGGGCAGUUUAGGGUGAAAUUUGUUUUAACAGAGAUUCAUUUUUCAAUUCCUCAGGGUAAUGCAGCAAUUACAGCAGCCAGCUGUUGUUUCCAUUACCAGUAAUCAUUUCCAGCAGCAGCCACUUUUUCCGACUGGUUAUUAGGGGCACGAUUUUGUACACUUUUGUAAGUGAAGGAUACUCGAAGCACUUUGUUGGAACAGAGCAAAUAGAAACCAGCGGGUAAAAAAAAAACAUAACAUUGCAGCUAAUUACAUUUCGAUACAUAGGUGAAAAAUAUUAAAGGGUACACUAACUUACAUAAAUACUCAUAAUUCCACACACAAAAGAACAUUUGAUUGCAAAACAUAUUAUGUGCUUCCUCAUAGCAAUACCACGAUCUCCCCAACCAACUGAACAACGGUAGCCACAAUCACUGGGUCGUACUCGUCAGCUUCUUCUUAGCAGGUCUCACAUGCUUAUGGCCACUCAUAUCCCUAGUGAUAUACACGAAAUAAAUCUUCAGCAAUAUUUGGAAUUUUAUUAUAUAUAAAUAAACCAUAAACCAUUCAGUAAACAAUGUAUAGCACAUGUUAUGUAACUUAUGACUCACGUGUCAGUUUUUUUUUUAACACAUUAGUACUCCAGCUCUUUAAUGUAAAUGGACAUGAUAAGGAGCAUUUACUGAUUCCCGGCUUUCUAUGAUAUUGACUGCUUCUUGAAUAAUAUUUCCAUAUUUGCAAAAUAUAAUGUUAGACAUUAUAACACAUGAUGACUUGCAAUACAUAGUCCCAAUAAUUAUAUAUCAAGCAAAUGAAACUGAUAUUUGUGUUAUUUUAAGUUAGAUAAUGACAUUAAGGGAGUAUAUGUGCAAUACCACGGUCACCCUCAACCAACUGAACAGCGGUAGCCGCAAUCACUUAGUCGUAUCGGUCGGCUUCUUCCGAGCAGCUUUGACGUGCUUAUGCUCAUUCAUGUCACCCCCAUCGUCUAGUAUCUCUCUCACAGCAUCAGGGGACACAUAGUUCCAAUCAUAACUUGUAUGAGUAGUUGCCGCAAAUGCUCGGAAUUUGUCGAAUCCUUCGUUGAAUGCCAACUCCAGUUCAGUAUGGUGCUCUUCGCAUCGCAUAUGGUUCAUCAAACAACCUUUGAUUUCAUCAUUCAUUACUGUAUCCAACUCCUCAGCUUUCAGCUUCCUGCUAUGACUCAGCUUCAAGUACUUGUUCUUUUGGGAUAACGCUUUGUUCACCCUAAUGUUAAGAUCAGCCAAAAUUGCCUCGUCUUCAACACAUUUCUCGUGCCAUGAAUUGAUCAGUCUGGAAUUAUAAUCCAGCUUGCCACUGACUGCAUGUAUUGCCUGUAAUGGAUCAUCGGAGUCCCCCUCACUCCCAAAUGAUGUUGAAAAAGGAAGGGGUCGGCGAGUACAAUGUGGAAAUAGAACCUGCCACUCCAAUUUGUCAUCUUCGAUUGUGUUGUUGGCGCCUGAAGAGGUUGACAUGCUUGAAUAAUCCUCUUUGUUUUGGGAGGAUGAGGAUUGCAUAUGCAAUUUCGUUUGAGAAAGGGAACAUAGGUUUAUAGACCAACAUACCAAAGCUUGUGUGUAGUCAACAUAUGUACUUUUUGGCGGGAAUUUUUUAAAAAUAGGUGUUAGGUUUUGCUUUUCAAGCAUGUCAACCUCACACUCUCCUGACACCACUGCUAGUGGUUGAAACAAAGUCAAUGGAAGUGACAUCUACUUAGUUAACUCAACCAAACUAGUUAGGAUUAAACUUAGAUUGUAUCAGACCAAAAAAUAAUUUCUACUUUGUCAACCAAAUAUUUUUUGGCGGGAACCCUUUUCUUGGUAUUACUAUCACCCCUUUCAUAUAAAAUCUCCUUCCACACAAAACUCACUCCUCCACCGAAUCUGUCUCCAUCUACCGAUACUCUCUCAAGCAAACAAACUCAUUCCCCCCAAAGAAUGAGCAUAAGCACAACCAAGUUUGAUGUGAGCAUAAUAAACACCCCUCCAAACAAAGACCGGCUUCGACACGCAAGUGAGUCACCGGACAAGCAAUGUCACAUUGCUAGACAGAAUGACCAUUUUGUUGGAAGUUUUGAGUCUGAAAGAGUUGUUGCUUUUUGGAAGGAGAGGCAUCUUCAACUUGGUGAUGAAAUCCAAAGGGCAAGGGCACGUUUGGAAUUUGUGGAAGGCCAAAUUGAAGAUGACAAAAGGCAGGCCAAUCUGGAUAGGGCGAAGUUGUAGCGCAUGAAGCGUAGACACAAACGACUUCGGAGUGUAGCUGUUCAAAAAUACAAGAACUCAUCUAAUGUAGUGGAGUCAAAGAAGCGUGUGAUGCAAGCUGGAUUCGACUACUUCCGAUCCUAUGCAAAACUCGUCGUACCCGGGUUUGAUUGGUCAUCUAUUACCGUUUCCGACGUCACCAAAUAUACUCAGCAAGGGAAGUAACCAUUUUGGUUCUCGUGUUUUAGCAGAGGCAAAUAAGUGGAAUUGGAAUUUUGGUUACACUCUGCUUCAAAGCUAUUUUGAUGCUAACUACUAUGGAAGAUUUAAACCUUAAUAUUUUGAUGUCUUUAAUUACGAAAACAGAAGAUGCAAAGAGCUCAUCUACUUCAGCCAUAUGUUGCUGCCAUGUCCAUUUGUUUUUGAUCACUUAUCAGAUUUGGACAUGGUUGCAUCAUAUGCAAUGUUGCCUUUAUUUAUUAUAUGUUAGGACAAGGUUUAUGGAAAAGCUUUUGUGAGUGCGUUUGUGACAAGGUUAUGGAAUUAUUAUGUACACUUUAUAUAUUGUUUUUUGUACUGGUUCAUUUCCUACUAUUUCUUGCUUUCUUUAUAUUUUAUGUUUGUGGAAUCCCUCUCAAAGUUAACAUAUACUGUGAAAAAAAUAUUAUGCAACUGAUUAUAUAAUCACUCAUAUAGACUAGGACAAAUAUUCACUAAGGGUUUUAAACUUGCUUCACUUGUGUGAUGUUAUUGACAAAAAGUAUGGCAUUAUUUAUGUGAUUUGACAUGAUUGAAAAUAUAUUACUGAUUCCCAAUGCGGCGUCAUAUGGACAACGUAUUGAAUACCUGUGACGUGUUAAUAACUCAAGGUGCAGUUGCAUGUGGACAACUUCUUGAAUACCUCUGACGUGUUGAAAACUCUAGGUGCAGUUGCAUGUGGACAACUUAUUGAAUACGAACUGACGUCUUCAAAGCUCUAGGCGUAGUUGCAAUGAUGGCUUCAAAGCAUGUGCAAUUAUUUUUUAUGUACAUUAUUAUAACAAAACAUAUUAUUGUAUAUAGUGAAACUAAAUAUUGUAUUAUUAGAAAUUAUAUUUCGAAUAUUAUCCGAAAUAUACGUGUUAACGUGAAUUUGGGUUAAGAGGAAAGUGAGUUAUGUACAAAUAAUUUUCAUUUUCUCAUUUUCCGGGCAUUUUUUGGAUUUUCGUAGAAUUUAUUACCUAUGUCCACAGAUUGUUGCACUAAAAAAGCCAAAAUAAUAGCAAGAGGACACCUGGAGCGAUCUCAGCCCGUCACUGAUGACUACUUGCACAAGUGUACGUCAGUCAACAUGGCCACACCCUCCCAUUUUACCCUAAAUUAUUAUUUUAUUACUUUUCCUUACAAAAAUCAGAACUAAUUACACACAAAAUAAAAAAAUUAUCCGAAAAUUGCUACGAACUCAUUGACACUCCAUCUCCGUUGCUGAAUUCUCCGAUUCAUUGUUACGUAUUUGUAAAAUUAAUUCCCAACAUUAACGGGAGAUGCUUGUUGAAGUAGGUUAUUCAAGUUGAAGUUAACAAACAUCAAUACUUAGGGUUAAGAGGAAAGUGAGUUAUGUAACACAAUUUGGAUUAUUUCAUUGCGAGACGAAUGAUUUAUAGGUUCUCCUAGUUUUAUGACGUCACAAGUAGGCCGGAGUAAUUUUUGGGGCAUUUUUACGAUUUUCCUACUAUUUUUUACCUAGUUUCAAAGAUUUUUGAACAAAAGAAUCCAAAAUGUAAAAGAAGAUGACACCUGGCGCGAUCUCAGCCCGUCACUUUUCACUACUUGCACAAGUGUACGUCAGUCAACAUGGCCACAUCCUCUCAUUUUACCCUAAAUUAUUAUUUUAUUACGUUUUGUCUUGGAAAAUUCAUAACUAAAUACACAAAAAUUCAAAAUUAUUUCUGAAAAUUGCUACGAACUCAUUGACACUCCAUCUCCGUUGCUGAAUUCUCCGAUUCAUUGUUACGCAUUUUUAAAAUUAAUUCCCAACAUUAACGGGAGAUGCUUGUUGAAGUAGGUUAUUCAAGUUGAAGUUAACAAACAUCAAUACUUAGGGUUAAGAGGAAAGUGAGUUAUGUAACACAAUUUGGAUUAUUUCAUUGUGAGACGAAUGAUUUAUAGGUUCUCCUAGUUUUAUGACGUCACAAGUAGGCCGGAGUAAUUUUUGGGCCAUUUUUACGAUUUUCCUACUAUUUAUUACCUAGUUUCAAAGAUUUUUGAACAAAAGAAUCCAAAAUUAACAAGAAUAUGACACCUGGCGCGAUCUCAGCCAGUCACUUUUGACUACUUGCACAAGUGUACGUUACCGAACAUGGCCACAUCCUCCCAUUUUACCCUAAAUUAUUAUUUUAUUACCUUUUUUCUUGGAAAAUUCAUAACUAAAUACACAAAAAUUAGAAAAACGAUCCGAAAAUUUCUACGAACUUAUUGCGAUUUCAUCUUCCUACUGCAUUCCCUGUUUAAUGGUUAUGCUACAUUAGUAUUUUAUUAUUAUUUAUCCACAAUUAUUAUAAUUAUUAUGAUAUUACUUUUUAGGCUGUCCAUUUGUUAAUUAUACCACAUCCAACUUGUUGAAAACAAUUUUAUUUUCCGUGCGAAUAGGCCAUUUGUAGUGCUUAUCGGUUUCUCUGUUCUUCAAUUUGUUAAUUUUUUUAUUUUUUAGGUUGAAGGGAUGUUUUGAAACAUAAUAUGGAAAUAUACAAGUCAUCCAUUGUACUCCUUCCACACAAAAAAAUAGUCUACGUCAUUCACUGUUCAACACCCUAGGUUAAGACACGUGUAACCAAAUCCGUUCGGAUAUGCUAAGUGGGAAAAUGUCAUUCCCAAGCACUGGUGAAAAGACACUUAUUUACUCCAUGCAUGACUUUUGGUUUACCAAAUAUGAAGAUUGGGGUCGGUGAGCAAAAUAUCUGUGUCAGUAAAAUGUCAUUCCUAGCCAUCUAUGAUGUAAGUAAUAAUUCCGCUAUAUAAUAAAUAUUAUACAUUUAUAUAUAAAACGGUUUAUGACAAAAUACCAACAUUUGAACAACAUUUAAACUGAGAUAGGUAUAACGUAGCCAGCCAACCUAGAAGUGAAGAGAAGCAAGUCCACAAUGCAUCAAAACUGUAAAUUCGUACUAAAACUAAUGCAAAAAUACGUGAUUCCCUCGCACAACUUACUCACGCAGGAUUUUGCACCAAAAAAUACUCUCACGGUGCCAUUUGCAUCGGUUGCAGCAAGUCCAAAACGCAGGAUUUAUCUUGUCUUCACUAGGCCACCCUGGAAUAACAAAAUACCAUUCAUUGUUGUUACAAGCGCUGCACCGAUUGAACUUAAUCUUCCCAUAGUCAAACAUAUCUACGAUAUGUCUUGCAACAAAUGCUCCGCGACAUCUUCCUGUUAAAGCAUCCCUGGUUCCUUUCAUAUCAAUGUUGUUACGUUGAUUCAAAGAACACAAGAAUUGUAAUGCAUCCUCUUUUGACUGACCAAUUCCGGACAUACCAAGUAGUCCAACUACAUAUGCCGCUUCCAUAUGGCCUGCCGUGGCUGCAAUGCGCAUCCCAUACAACGCUUCCACCUUACCGUCUGUGAAAAAACCUUCGAAUGCUUCUCUAAAUAUGGACUCAGGGUUAUCGCAAGCCCUGCAUUGUUGCAAGAAAUGCUGGACUGCAGGUUUGGCACGGUAGCAGAUAGGAUGGUGUGGGUACUUUGCCAUUGAAAUGGUGUUCCACACUUGUGGACUGUUUGCCAAAAUGUUGAACAAUCGGCACACACAUGCCAUACGGAAGAGAUCUUCCGAUGAUUCGGUUGCCACGUAUAACAUCACUUGAAACCAAGCGGACUCCGGGAUAAAGGCUUCGGGCAUAUCGAAAUGGAGAUGCUUCCUUCUCUUUCCUCCGACUGUAGUGAAGUGUUUCGAAUUCAUUGAAAAGUUUUUGGAAUGGAACGAUUUGAGGAGUGGCAGAGGGGAUAAAUGAUAAUAUUUGGGGUACACGUUCUACUUCCGAGCCUCUGUUUAUAGUGUUUUGAAAAGGUGUUUCCAGUUGGGGUUUUUCCAAGUUGACCCUUUUGAAAGAAACUGAAUCCAAGUGAAUUAAAACUUAAGACAAAAGAAGGGAAAACGUCAUAACGGUGCAUACAGAGUCAGACAGUUAAAAAGUUAAUUAAAUGGCUAUUUGCAUAGCCAUUUUUGGGUUUAUCCCACUAUCAAAUUCAUUGAUACAAAUGUGAUGGAUUACUGACUAGUGACAGAAGGUCCCAUCAUAUACUUUUUCAUUUUCGCACACCCAACUAUCCCUAGUAAUGUUAUUAAAAUGGAACCAAUAAUGACGGAUUCUUAUCCAACUAGUUGCCUUAAUGAAAUAUAAAUAAAUUAAUAAAAUUGAAGCAGUGUCCCGUCAUUAGUCAGAAAAUAUAUUUGGUAGUGAAGUAGUUUCUAUUGCUUUUCGGGCUAAAAGAUGUCACAAUGCUGACGGUACAGGUGUCGACAUCGUGACCAACCCACCAAAUGAUCCCAAAAAAAAGUAAUAUAACUCGAUUUGGGCAGAGAUGAGAGAGAGCUGAGUGACAAGUUUAGGGUUAUGAGUGAAGGGGUAUGAAUGACAACUAUGAGUGAGAAGGUAUGAGUCCGAAGAGGUUUCAGUGAGAAGAUUUGAGUGAGAAGAGGUACAACUGAGAAGAUUCAACAUGUCUUCGUCUUCAUCUCCUGCUCAAACAAAGAGGUGUCAGUAUUGUGGAGCUACAAUGGUGCUUCGGGUUUCAAAAUCUGAAAAAAAAUCGAGGGAAGCCAUUCUGGAAGUGUCUAACCUCCUAUGUAAGUUUUAAUUUAAAGAAUAUGUAUGUGGGUGAAAAAAAACCUAUGUCUAACUCUGACAGAAUUAUAUUCCAUAUAUGAUGCCUGCAAUUAGGGAGCCACCAGUUGCAAUGGAUUCGAAUGGGUUGAUGUAACCUCCGCUGAAGCAGAACAUCAAGAUGACACGUAUGAUGUUAGAGUGCUGAACAUGCUGAAGUCCAUUAAGGACUUGGUAUUAGUUUUAUUAGUUGUAUUAAUUGUCAUUUUAUUUGUUCUUUUAAUGAUCAUUUAACUGCACGGUUUAAAAGAUUGUGAAAGUUCUCUCGCACAAGACAUAUUGCACGCACCACCAAUGAGACCCUAAACCCAUUUUGUAAUAUUUGGUAACUGCAUGUAUUUCGCAUGUUAUUGAAUGUUUAUUGAAGGUUUAUUGAUAGUUUGCUGCAUGUAUAUGGAAUAUCAUUGCCCCAAAAUUGGAUGUUUAUUGGGGCCACAAGUAUCACUCAAGUAAGAAUGAAGGGGAGAAACGGACCUUAUUCUUUCUUAUAGUAGGAAGAACAACUGUUAAGUUUAAUAUCCUAUUCAAUACGACUUCCCUAUGGUUGGUGUACUUGGGGACUGAAGUAUAUUGCAUCAUUAUUGUGGGCAAGGGCAUGUCUAUUGUGUGUGUUAAGGGAGUAUUGUGUGGGCAAGGGCAUGUCUACUGUGUGUAUAUUGCAUGUCUACUGUGUGUAUAUUGCAUAUCUAUUCUCUGUAUAUGGCAGGCCAAGUUUGUGUAUAUUGUUUGUCUGUUGUGUGUGUAUUGCUUGUCGGUGCGUUUGUGAAUUGUGGUUCAUUUUGUGUAUAUUGUCUUUGUUUCUACUUUUAUGCUACUGAGCUGCGGAAAACCUCGCAUGUUUAGACACCUAUUAUGAUGCAACACAUUGCGAUUAAUGGUGGCUUGCAUCAACAAUGACAUAUCACUUUGCAAUGAUGUAAUACACUUAAAAAGCCGUCUUCAAAUCCCAAUUCACAUAUGCAGUCUUAAAAUUCUAAUUCAAUGCAGUUUGGUUAACAAACAUGUAAAUGUCAUGAAGGAGUUAGCGGUAGAAUUCGAUAAGGACCCGUACGUCUCUAUUGUGUAUUUACAUUAGUUUGAGAAUGGACAUUCCCAAAACCUUCUCAUGUACCAUUUGUCAUCUUCAACCAAUAUCAUGGGAAGUAAGCAUCUCCCCUUGUUAUCUCCGCAGCCAAUUUCAACCGAAAAAAAGGCAUGUUGUGCGAGGUGCAAGUAGCUAACGGAAGCUUAGCGCUGAAAAGCUCAAUGUACUUUAACACAAACAUGCCACAAUCGCCUCUGAAGCAAAACAAGAACUCGAUCAAUUCAACUAAUGACAUUCUAAUGUAAUUGACAAUUGAAAGUAAUAAAAUUAAAUUGCAAGUUGUGCUUACUCAUUAGACUGUUGUGGAACAUCCACACGCUCUAUUGGCCACGGACACCACCAAUCUCGGCUGCAAUUGUUUGCAUAAACACCUUCUUCAUAAAAGUCGAUGGUGUUGAGAAGAUUUGGAAGCGUAAUUGAUAGCGGGCCGAGUUCUUCCUUUACGAUGUCAUCUGGAAUUAGUGAAACCUUUGAAUCGUACACUUUGAUUCACACAAUACCAGAUCAAACANNNNNNNNNNNNNNNNNNNNNNNNNNNNNNNNNNNNNNNNNNNNNNNNNNNNNNNNNNNNNNNNNNNNNNNNNNNNNNNNNNNNNNNNNNNNNNNNNNNNNNNNNNNNNNNNNNNNNNNNNNNNNNNNNNNNNNNNNNNNNNNNNNNNNNNNNNNNNNNNNNNNNNNNNNNNNNNNNNNNNNNNNNNNNNNNNNNNNNNNNNNNNNNNNNNNNNNNNNNNNNNNNNNNNNNNNNNNNNNNNNNNNNNNNNNNNNNNNNNNNNNNNNNNNNNNNNNNNNNNNNNNNNNNNNNNNNNNNNNNNNNNNNNNNNNNNNNNNNNNNNNNNNNNNNNNNNNNNNNNNNNNNNNNNNNNNNNNNNNNNNNNNNNNNNNNNNNNNNNNNNNNNNNNNNNNNNNNNNNNNNNNNNNNNNNNNNNNNNNNNNNNNNNNNNNNNNNNNNNNNNNNNNNNNNNNNNNNNNNNNNNNNNNNNNNNNNNNNNNNNNNNNNNNNNNNNNNNNNNNNNNNNNNNNNNNNNNNNNNNNNNNNNNNNNNNNNNNNNNNNNNNNNNNNNNNNNNNNNNNNNNNNNNNNNNNNNNNNNNNNNNNNNNNNNNNNNNNNNNNNNNNNNNNNNNNNNNNNNNNNNNNNNNNNNNNNNNNNNNNNNNNNNNNNNNNNNNNNNNNNNNNNNNNNNNNNNNNNNNNNNNNNNNNNNNNNNNNNNNNNNNNNNNNNNNNNNNNNNNNNNNNNNNNNNNNNNNNNNNNNNNNNNNNNNNNNNNNNNNNNNNNNNNNNNNNNNNNNNNNNNNNNNNNNNNNNNNNNNNNNNNNNNNNNNNNNNNNNNNNNNNNNNNNNNNNNNNNNNNNNNNNNNNNNNNNNNNNNNNNNNNNNNNNNNNNNNNNNNNNNNNNNNNNNNNNNNNNNNNNNNNNNNNNNNNNNNNNNNNNNNNNNNNNNNNNNNNNNNNNNNNNNNNNNNNNNNNNNNNNNNNNNNNNNNNNNNNNNNNNNNNNNNNNNNNNNNNNNNNNNNNNNNNNNNNNNNNNNNNNNNNNNNNNNNNNNNNNNNNNNNNNNNNNNNNNNNNNNNNNNNNNNNNNNNNNNNNNNNNNNNNNNNNNNNNNNNNNNNNNNNNNNNNNNNNNNNNNNNNNNNNNNNNNNNNNNNNNNNNNNNNNNNNNNNNNNNNNNNNNNNNNNNNNNNNNNNNNNNNNNNNNNNNNNNNNNNNNNUUUUCCUCUCCCUCAUCUCUAUUAUUUGGCCCUUCACCCCCUUCAAUCCCUUCAUCUUCUUUUUCCUCUCCCUCAUUUCUGUUACUUGGCCCUUCAUCCCAUUGAAUGUCAUCCAUUUCCCCAUAUCCCUUAAAUAGAUGUGAGACGACACAACGAUUCGUCCUCUGUUUCAGUAAAGCUAGGUCCCUCCUUACUUCCUGCUCAAACUGAGGACCUAAACAUUGGUCCAAUAGUUUUUCCAUCCGUAUGACCUUUAAGUGAAGGACGUCUUUUUCCCGCUUUUCUUGAAACAACUCGGACCUCAACAAGCUUACCACCUUGUUCAACUCAUCAAGAUCACCACAUGAAGAAGGAAUUGACUCUGCCGAGACAACAGCAGGGCGAUCCUGUGGCCAACUCCAAUAUGGCUGUCUCAUUUCCUCUUCACUUAGACAUAGCGCCCGCAACUGAACUGACUGUUUCAGAAUACAGACAAGAGUCAUAUUAAAUCAUUCUACUUCAUAAUUUCAUUCAAUCUUAUCAAUAGUUCUAAGGGCUGCAAACCAAACCUCUUUGCUCUGGAAAAAAUAAUUGUUCAACUUUCUCAUCUCUGGAACAGACGUAGUAGUUCUCCAUCGCAAAAUACGCGGGACAGCGGUCGGAUCAACAACCUUGCAGUAAUUCAGGUCCGCCAUUCUAGGAAUUAAUUCAUAUACCCAAAUCUACACAAUUCACAGGACAAAAGUCAUUAUUUAUGUUUUAAAGAAAAACAAAACAUAACUGACAUGAACAUUAUUACCAUGUACCUGGAAAGCAUACGUGAAACCUUUAAAACUCCAGCCACUCCUUUGCGCUUCACUAUGCUUAUCCUUCUUGCCCUUCUCAUUUCUCCGGCUUGUUCCCGUUACCUUACUUUUCCCCUUCCCUCUUCCCUCUUCAUUUUCCAAGCUUUUCACAUACUUUGUUGGUGCAGAAAAUAGACUGUCUUGGGUUUUGUCAAAGGACACCGAACCCCACGGAUACCUGUUGAACGCAUCCAAGUCCUCUACAAGGGUCAGGUAAUUUAGAUUGAUGUUCAAAUGUUUGUCCCUUCCCAAAACCACUAACUCAGCAAAGUAAACAAGAGGUAGCUUGAAGAUGUCAUCUUCCUCUGUGCACCUCACAAAUGCUUCUUCUAAAGCAUUGCAUGUAAUUCCUUCGUCUAUAAAAUAUCUUUUCUGAAGUCUGAUUUCAUUACUCUCUCCACUGGAAACUUCAGGCACUUCCCCAAAACGAAGCCCUGUGAUCAAACAGAAAUCCUGACGAGUGAACUGAGCAACGUCACACCCUAAUAAGAAACUCAGUCCAUCCAAGUCUUUCACACCCUGCCCCGCUACUCUACGCAACACAACCCCAUGCACAAUCUGUCCGCUAAACUGAAUCUUAUCUAUAUUCAGAAGAUGGCCAAAGCAUGAUGUCUUGAAUUGUUCUAAUUGUUCCGCACUCAACUUCGCUCGAAUUGCAGCUAGAGAUGAAUUUGCAUGUGAGCAGUUGUUCACCCGUGAUGAAUAUACCUCUGCCUCUGGCCAUACCAGCUCCACGUUGGAUCCCAUUUCCUCAAAUACAAUGUGAAAUAACGUGAACAUAUAUACUACCACGUAUUUGCACAAUCACAACUAGUCAACCAGGCACAUUACAACUUUUACAAAGUACAUGAGCAUAUGGAUUACUCAUCACAGGCUUUAACAUCAUCAAAGCAAUAUGACAAUUUUUGUGCAAAUACCUGUUAAUGCAAUGAUUAUGUGAAUUACAAACAAUUUCACGUGUUUUAUUUAUGGAUCCAUACUCGUGUGAGUGCAAUGUAGGCAAGUUCUGCACUUCACACACAUGACAAUUAUUGUCAUCUCAUACACAACCCAAAAUAAAUAAAUAAGAAAUAUAGUGGAAGGAAGCAAAGCAAAGCAUGUACUCUGCUAUCUGCUUGCUAAGCAAUUGCCACAUCCUUCUUUCUUUCUACCUUUUUCUUCAGUCACCCACAAUCGUCAUAGAUCAACCUUCAUUUCAAAUGCUUUGCACUUUUAUUCAUGAGUUUAUUAUUAUCUGUUCUCAUUUCUCAUAGGCAAAUUUAGUAACAAAUGAAAUAAUAUUUAUUUCACAAAAUAUAUAAAUUCUAGUGCCAGAGAGGUACUCUUCACUCUGCACUGCUUCAAAUGUGGAAGGUUUUGAGAUGUUAUUGACAUGUGAUUGACUUUAUUUUCAUUCGUUUUUUAACAUAUACCCAAGCAAAAAUUAACAUGCAAUUGAAGCACAAAUAAGAGAUGCCAAAUCCAACAACAUUGAUGGUACAAAUUGGGGAAAACCAUUACUCUAACCCUAAACUCAAAUUCCUUACAUUACUCAUCAAAUGCUUUGCAGUUCUAUUCAUGAGUUUAUUAUUAUCUGUUCAAAUGUUUCUCAGGCAAAUUUAGUAACAAAGGAAAUCAUAUUUACUUCAUAAAAUAUAUAUAUAUAUAUAUAUAUUCUAGCGCCUCUUCUUAAUCUGCACUAUGCACUGCUUCAAAUGUGGAAGGUUUUGAGGGCCUCCUCCAAUUCAACACCAUUAUCUUAUUCAUAUCAUUAUUGACAUGUUAUUCACUUGUUAUUGACUUCAUUUUCAUUCUUUUUUUAACAUAUACCUAAGCAAAAAUUAACAUGCAACUGAAGCACAACGAAGAGAUGCCAAAUCCAACAAAAUUUAUGGUACAAAUUGGGGAAAACCAUUACUCUAACCCUAAACUCAAAUUCCAUAAAUUACUCACCAAAUGCUGGUUAUUGCAAGGUGUCUGUGUGGGGUCUUUCUGUUUCUUUGCUCCACAAAUGGAACCUACCACUUCCAACGAAUACAGCUUUUCCCCUUCCCCUUCCACUGCUUCGCCUCUUCACUGAUUUGGAAUCCACACCUUUGCCCCUUCUACUCCAAAUAAAUACUUUCUCGGGGUCUGGAGAACGGAGUGGCGAAUCGUUGCCUUCAACUGUCGUUAGCCGUUGCCUUCAUUGGGUAUCUCAGACCUCUGUGUUUUAGAGAGAUGAGUUCUUUCUGUUCAAACUUCGAACUUGCCUCUUCUUCUUCUUUUUCGGACGUGUUUCCCUCUUCUUCUUCUUUUUGGACGUGCUGGAUAUUCAAUUCGGGUUUGGGUUCCUUACCUACCCAAUUGUGAAACUUUAACUCAAUUCUCCCCAGCCCUUGGAUUAAUCUGAUGGCUAUAAAGUGAACCCCUUAUAACUUACCCCUUAUAACUUUCCACUCAUUAUAGUCUUGGCCAGGUAUGGCGGCCAUGCUAGUAAGUGUUGGGUCUUUGACCCAACUUAAGCUAAAUGGGUCAUAAGAUGACCGAUCAUCUUAUCUCAUAAGGAUAUAUAAGUCAUGUUAUGAUUUAGGAUUUUAUAGGGUUUCCUUUGUAAGAGGUAAGAGAGAAACAAGCUCUCUCUCUCUCUACACAAGGAGGUCAGCCAUAGCAAGGGAAAGGCUCCUAGCACUCUCCUCUCUCUUAUUAUAUCAUCCUUCCAAGGACAGCUUUGGUAUGGUAAAGUUGGAGGUUGCACACUUUGUGCACUUUGGUAAGAACUCAUCCAAGGGAGCCAAGAUUAAAUUGGUUAGCUGUUGGAUUAAAUUGGUUAGCACGAUUCAACGGUUAAUAGAUAAAACUUCACAUAAAAGUCAUAUAUAAGGCCCUCACUAUAGAAUGACUCGUUAGUUUAGUCUCUUGUUACAUAUCAAAUGUUAGAGAUAUUUUUUAAUAAGGAUCUGCCAUACCACAUAGUUGGAUAAGACAUUAUACACGGCUUUUGUAAGAGCAUCUCCAGCGCUCCAAACUAGCCCAAGCAGCAGGGGGGCCUAAGUCUAGGAAGCAGCUCCAGCUCGCAAGAUUCAACCCAGGCAAGGUGUGGAACCCACGAGGAGAUCUAGCCCGUCACCUUGCCUUUGGGUUUCAGUCAAGCUGAUGUCAACGAAAGAAUUUCAAAUUUUUUUUACCGUUACAAUGUACGCGCCAACGAUAAAUUUUCUUUGGAUUUCUUGCAUUGAUCCACAGCUACCAAAAACCAACAGCUACAAGCCACGUGGCUUCUCCAGGAGCCUCCGAUCCAAAAAUCAUGUCAAAUCUAACGGCAGUCCAUUUUUUGGCUAAAAAUAUCAAAAAAUUAUGGAAACAUGUUCUAUAAAUUCCUACAAAUAUUAUUCACUUCCCACACCAAAUCUUCAUACAAAUUCAUAUCCUUUCAAUAUUUUUCACUUUCCAUACAAGAUUUUCUACUACUAAGUUUCGUUUGUGUAAAAAUACAAAUGACCUCUUCUAUCGAAGCCGGAGGCGCGUGUACAACCGUGGAAGAUAUUUUGUUGCGUGAGUGUUGGGUCAAAGUUGGUCAUUCCCUGAUCACGGGCAAUGAGAUGAAGUCCUCUCGUAGGAGUUUCUGACAUCGCAACGAAAGUAAGAUGUGAUAUGAAAAUGUAAGGAAUUUGAUGAGAGGAAUGGGAUUUGAGGAGUUUGAUGUAGGAAUUGAUGUAGGAAUUGAAUUUGGGAGGUAUGUAUAUAAGAUUUGAGGGUAUGUGUUUAGGGAUUUUGAUAAGAGGAUUUGAGGAAUUUAGAUUUGAAGGAUUUGGAUUUGGGGAAUUUAAAUAUGAGGAAUUUGAUUAGGGUUUGGGUUUGAAUAUGUGAAAUUUGAUAUGAGAGUUUAGAGACAACAGAUGAUCGAUUGCUCUGAUACCAUGCUAAAAUAUGAUAUGGUUUGAAUACUUUAGGUUGAGUUUUAUUCUUUUCCAUAAAAAGGUAUAUAUAGGAGUUUACAUGAGUGCUUUACAAAGAAAUAGAUACAAUAAUCAAUUAGGAUAAUAUCUCCUAAUUAUACAAUAAUUUGUCAACUAUAUAGAAUAGGAAAGUAAAUUCCUUAAUUAAUCAAGAAAAUAAAUCUCAUUGAUUAAUUAGGAGACUAACGUCAACAUUUAUAAGCCAUAAAAGAGCAGAAAAAGAGGUACUUAGGAGAUUUUAUACGUCGGACUAAGGUAAGCUUAAAGGACUAUAUCAAAAAAAUAAGGGACCAAGAAGCAAGACAGAGAAGUUGUUAUGCAAACCCAUUAAGUUUAGCAGUGAUGAAUUUGUAAAAAUCAUUCUAGUGGAUUCUGCCUUCACUAUUGAGUUCUUAUUGAGGUUCUAUCUGAAAGGAUCUGGACAUGAAGGAGACCGCUUAUUAAACAAACCGUGGAUGUUUACAGCCUGACAUGUGGUUGCUUGAAAAUCAGCUCCCAUUCUUUAUUCUUGAGGAUCUUUAUCACACAUACAUAAUAACCGACUCUUUUAGGAAUUAUUACAGUACUCAUGAUCAUGAGAGGCUUUCAAUAAUUAAUAUUUCUAAGAAUUUCUUCACAGCCGGAAUAUUGAAUUUGGAGGGGAAGGGAGACAAAUGGAACAGAAUAUCAUCUUCUUCUAGUGUUGGAAAUUUUAUAUUAUUUAAUAAUAUUUAAUUUCUAUUGUGAAUGAAAAAUAAGUUUCUUUAAGAAACGUGUGUCUUAGGCCAGUUUUUCUAACUGGUCGGCUUCCUUAGAUUUGUGCCUAUUGCUUUUCAAAGUAUAAUGAUGCAAUGGUUGUAUCUCGUUCAGGCAAAUGGAAGGUAUAUAGCAAUUUAUAGAACAAUACAGUAAUCCAGAAGAAAUAUUAUGAAAUGAAAAGAAUAAAAAGUAAAAAAAGAGAAAGAAAGGAAUUCCCACCUGCAAUGUAUAUGUAUGAAAGGAAGGACCAAGUUUGUUUUAAAAUGGUAAGAACAAGUUGAUUUUAAAUUGGGUUCAGAUCAACUCAUAGAUUUCUUGCCUUUUCUGUUCUCCUUCCUUGGACAUGAACUGUUUAAUCUUGGACUCUUCCCCAUCAUGUUGGGCCUGUCUUCUUCUUGAGGAUUGUAUAGGCCUAGGAAAUGCUUCGGGGUAGUUUUUGUGUUUUGGGCAUUGGGACCCAACUUCACAAAAAGAAAACAAAUUUGACCAAAACACAAAUUUGAAGGACAUUGAAAUUGUACCCGUAGGAUAGAUUAAAACACUAUAAGGGAGGUAAAUAGUACGUUUACAGAGUUUAAGUGUAAUAAAGGAAUAAAAACAUGCCCAGAGAAUUGAUAAGUGAUAUCAAUUCUUGAAUAUACGUGAAAAUUAUUUUAUGUGGUUAAACCCCACCUCUGGGGAAAAUCCACGGAACUUCUUAGUCCAACUUCUAUCACUUAUCCUAGACACAUUCUAGAUAAUGUUUGCCAACCUCUUCGUAACUCAACUUCUGUCACGAGAUGAUCUUUCAACACUUUAUGUCGAACGCAAUACUGGUCACGAUUUCUUCAAGCUCGCCGGAGUUCUUCCAAUUCUCCUUAUAUUGAAUCUGAUACUAGUCACGAUCGAUUCAAGCUCAUCGGAGAAAAAUCGCCACAACAAUCUUGGUGCCCUCAACCGUAUGAGUCACUGAACAUGCAAAUGAAUACAAUAUGAAUGAUAAAAGUGUUUGAUAAAUCACCAAGUUAUGGAACACUUGAUGAUUUAUCUCAAAUAAAAAUUCAGCUUUCCAAAGUUUAUGAAUUGAAAAUAUGACCGUUAAAGCUCUCUAAACAAAGAAGACGAAGGUCUUAUUUUAUAGACUUUUACUUUACAAGAAAGAAAACACGUUGAAAACCAAAUCUCCAAUUUCCAAGGCUUGACAGAAAAUCACAAAAUUAUCUUUCCUAUUCUAGAGAUUGGUCACAUGAAGUCCAACCAAUAGGAAAUGAGAUAUUUAAGAAAGGAAGAUUUUGAUCAAUAUCAAUAUCAAAUGAAUUCUUAUACGCCUAGUCAAUUGUUAUGGGUAUCUUGACUCCUUGAUAUUGUGAUAUGAUUGAAACAUGAUUUCCACGUUAGAAAAUUAAGGGGAUGUUAAAACAUGAAGGUAAUAGGAGAAUCAAAUUGAUUUGGGCCAAAAUUGCCUAAAAAGAAAACACUCCUUAAUAAACUUCAAUUUACUUUUAAAAAUAGUAAAACGUGAUUGAAUCGUUCUUUAAAACAAUUCCCUAAUAUACAUGCAUGAUAGUGAUAUCACUUACCUUUGAAUCAGAUGGCUUUCACGGGUCAAGCCACAAGUUUUUGUCUUGGGGAUUGCUGAGCUUCAUCAAUCCUGCCAAUGUCAAUUUUGCCCCUAAGCUCUCUCAAAGCACGUUUACAACCUAUGCUAACAUAUAUUAGAGUUUAUGUUAGUAUCAAGAAAAUGCCAACACUAAUUUCGUAACACGUAGAAAUUGUUAGAGAUUGAAGUUUUUAUCAUUUUUUCUUCCAGACUCUCCACCACUCACUAAUAUAGUUUACUCAUGUGAUGAGUUUACAAAACCUAUUUCUCUACUCUCACAAAGACUAUACUUAGGGGGGUGUAUUCAAUUAGGAUUCUAAAGCGUUUAAAAAGAUUUUGUUUAAGUGCCAGCUUUCAUAGAACUUGAUGGAACUUUAUAAUUCGUAUAGAACUUGAUAGACUUUCAGAAGACUUCUGUAUAAUUUUUUAAUAAAACUUUCUUAAGCUUUCAUAGAACUUGAUAGGCUUUCAUUCCAAACUUAUGUAGAUGGUAUAUUUCAUUUUAUCCCCAUCCUUGACAUUUAAAGAAAGAAACUUGAAUUUUUUCAAUCAAAUUUGUUUUUGUUACCAAAGCAGCAAAAACAAAAAGUACUUGUUUGCGAUGGAAGAACAUAUGCACAGUUCAAAAUGAAAAGAAUAAGAAGCAAAGUACCUAUUUGACCAAUGAAUGCUGUGUCAACUAGAGAAGCAAUUGGAUCGGCUGUCAAAGCCAAUGCUGCAGGCAAUGCAUCGAUGGUCCAAAUUGCAAUAAAAAAAUAUUUUGAAUAAUGGCUCUUGCAGACAAAGACCACAUAAAUUCUGAACUGGUCUAGCUUGAAUAAUAAGGUUAGAUUAGCCAAUUGAUGAGAUUAAAAGCAAAGCAAGUUGAUGAAUUUAUCAUCAACUAUUUAAUAACCACAGUCCUGAUCUCUUGGACCCCUGUAGUCCAAGAGAUUUAUGGUCACCCACCGUUGGAUGUAAAUUCAACGGUUGACUUGAAUCGGGUAAUAAUCAUUUAUGUCAUAUUGCAUUUAUAUAUAUCAUUUUGAACCAUUGGAUUAAUAUCCAACGGUGGGUGACCACAAUCUCUUGGACUCCUGUGGUCCAAGAGAUCGGGACUGUUAAUAACCAAUAGAGUAUUUAAACAUAAACAACAAUGUUUGAUCAACAAAACAAAUAGUCCAAAUAUCAUCCAAAAAACAAUAACAAAAAAUCAAUCAUUCCAAACAAACUAGUCAUUCUCAAAAACUCUCAAAAAACCCACUCAUUCCAAAUUGUAGGAUAUCCAAUUUGAGCACUCCUCAGGAGACAUUUUCAAAAAUGCAUCCUUUUUUGUGUUACUAUGCAACAAAGAGAGUGCUUUAUAACGAGCAUGUUCAUCCAAAUUUGGGGUCUCCUUAAUGGCAUCCCAUAUAUAACUCCGCUGCUCUCUCUCUUUUUCCCUUUUUGCCAAUAGGUUAUGGACCUCCCGGAAGUCGAUGACAAUUGAAUCAAUGCUAAGGCUAAUUCUUCCCAUAGCUUGCUGGGUGGUCACAUUUGAGAUAGCAUUCCCUUCCAAAUAUGUUCUAGUUCGUUUCCUCUAGUAACAAGCAUAAAUCCUAGUAACAAGCAUAAACCCUAACCCCAACCUAUAACCUAAUAACAAGAAGAAAACCCAACGAGGUAUUGAUCAAAGAAAAAUUAGGGAGCAUACCUUCACAGAUGGAGGAAGGAAGCUGUUCGUCUUCGCAGAGAGAAAAUCUAGGGAAAGAGAAAAACGUCUUAUGAAAUACUUGGGGGGGAGGUUGGAUUUAUUUUGGUCUUUUUUAUUUAUAACUCUCCCCUUAAAACCUACGUAAAUUUAUCACUUAAUGAAAUCCUUCCAAAUAUAUGACCUUUCGAAUACACCUAGAUUUGAUUCAACUUUUUUAUAAUCAUAAUUGAAUACACCCAUAUUUGAAUGGACUUUUUAAAAGUUCAUAUAGGUCCGAAAUGAAUAUACUCAAACUUGUAAAACCUCUUUUAAAGUUUGUAUAAAUCCAAAUUGAAUACACCUGGAUUUUUAAAAUCUUUUUAAACACUUUAUAAUCCUAAUUGAAUACACCCCCCUUAUUCUCAAAAGACUAUAUUACUUUACCUCUAUCUCUGUGAAAUGUAAAAAGUUGAAACUUUAAUGUCAAACCUCAACAAAAGAUGAACUUUCAUCAGUUACGUUGAAUUUGGAUUUGUUGAACUUAAGUGGUUUUAUUUUCUUUGUCAGUGUUUGAUGACUUAAUUUGGUAUUUAUUUCUUCUUUUUUUUCCUUGGAAAUGUGUUCCACCAACGUGAGGAAGAAAAAUAUGCACAAAUUAAUAUAUUUAAUAGAAGCCCAAGAUUUCGGAUGCAUAUAAUUUCUACAAAAAUCUACAAAGUUUUUUACUUUACAAACUUCUUAUGUCUACCAAUUUCUACUAAAAUUAAUUUCUCUGUGGUGCUCAAAUUCAUCAUAUGUGUGUCGUUAAUUUUAUUGAAAAUUGGAAGUUCCCAUCAUUUUUGUUUUUUGGGAAUUUUCUGAACCAAGGAAAAUCAAGUAAAAUUAAUAAAGCCUAAAUUGGAAAGGGAAAAUAUCUAGAGGAUGCAUUGUAGGAUUGCUCAUGCCAAUAAUUGUACCCUCUAAAUAUAUAGAGACAUAUUUUUUUUGUUUUCAUGACAUGUGGUCCUAAAAUUAUUGUGUAAAUCUUCAAUCCUGAACGAUGCACCUAAAACUCAUCCACCCAUUCUCAGGCCAAUUAUUGCACCUAGUGGGCUCUCGACCCCCUCUCAAAUUUAACCACAUAUUUUAUGGACCAUCCAGCUGUGAGGUACAUUCCCCCCACAUGCCACAAUUGUAUAUUCACAAUUACGUCUGAUACAUCACAUCAUGCCACUUGCCUCAAAUGAAUUUAAGUGAGUGAGGCAGUUGGAAGUAAUUAAGCUCUAUAUUGGUGGGUGGAGUGUUACUUCUCGGUUCCCCUCAUCAUUCGUCUAUAAAAUGGUGAAGGCAGUUGCUAUUGUUACCAUAAGAGCCAGCUCCGACUUCCUUUAAUUUCUUGCUUCAUAUCCACUAGCUACAUCUGUUACCAAGUUAAUUUCAGUUCUAAUGGGGUUUCAUCUCCCACUCAUCUUUGCUCUUCUCAGUGUAAGCUCUGCAAUUUGAUUAACUUUUCCAUUCUCUCUCAUUGUACUCUAUAUAAACGAAAGUUUUGUGUUCCUAUUGUUCUCUCCGAUUUUAUUUAGUACGUACUUAAGUGUCGUCCACUAAUUAAUUAUACUUUGUGAUUUGAUUUUAAUUUGAGUUUGAAUUAAUGUUGCAGCUAGCAGCAGUGGCACUGGCAAACCAUGCUGCUCAACCAGCACCUCAACUUUACUGGAGCUCCGUCCUGCCAAACACACAGAUGCCAAGAUCUAUCAGUGAACUUCUGCAUCCUGGUUUGUGUUGAGCUCUUUAGAAUCUUAGAUAUCUCUUCUACCUGCCAUUUUACUAAAAUAUGUUCCACCACAUAUUUAUCAGUUAACCAUUGUCAUUACAUGAGUGACACAUAUUCACAAAUCGGCUGAUCACUUAUUUUCCAUUAUGACUUGAUAUAUAAUUUGCAGACUCCACAAAUGAAGAAAAGAGCACAAAUGACGUUGGCAAACCUGAAACUUUCCCAUUGGGCAAUCAACAUUACUCCAGUCAAAAACAUUAUGGAGGCAUACCUGAAACUUCCCCAUUGGGCAAUAAACAUUACUCCAGUCAAAAACAUUAUGGAAGAGGCAAACCUGAAACUUUCCCAUUGGGCAAUCAGCAUUACUCCAGUCAAAGACAUUAUGGAAGAGGCAAACCUGAAACUUUCCCAUUGGGCAAUAAACAUUACUCCAGUCAAAAACAUUAUGGAAGAGGCAAACCUGAAACUUUCCCAUUGGGCAAUCAGCAUUACUCCAGUCAAAAAAAGUAUGGAAGAGGUGCUUCUCCAUCCGACAAUCAACAACUCCAUUAUAAAGACUUAGCUAUUUUCUUCUUGGAGAAGGACAUGCGCCCUGGCACAACAAUGAAGUUCCAAUUCC
rnacentral:lncRNA from 1 species